CUCUCUCCGGCCUCGUCCACUUCAGCAGCACCUACUACCUCGUCAGCACCAGCCAUUUCUUCAGCACCAGCUACUUCCACAUCUACUCCCAGGUCAGCUACUGCUACACCACCUAUCUCACUGCCUAGAAUCUCAAAUCUUGGUCUACUGGCAUAACAUGCAAUGAUGGAAAUAGGCACGUUAUCCAACAGGACGAUCUCCUGAAUAUAAUUCUGGCCAACCUCUCUGAAGUAUAUGUAGUCGUCACAGGAAUAAAGUGUGUACACUUGGUCAGUCUAUUGACAAUGACCCAAAAACAUCAAAUUUCCUCAACAUUCGCUGCAAACCAACCACGAAAUCCAUAGUGAUGUGCUCCCAUUCAACUUUGGUAUAUCCAUCUGCUGAAGUAAGCCACAUGGUCUCUAGUGCUCAUACUUCAAUCACUAGCAAUUCAGACACCUCGACGCAUAUUCAACUAUGUCUUCUUCAUCCAGCGCCAUCAGUAAUGCUGUCUCAGGUCACGAUACAUCUUCGUGGCACUUGGAUGAAUGGAAUAAGGUGAACUUUGUGCUUUCUCCACAAUCAACCCCCUCAGCCCAUCAACAUUAGGGACAUAUAAGCGACCCUGGAGUCACAGAACACCAUCAUCACCAAUAGUGACCUCCUUGGCAUCACCUCAUAGUACCGUCUCUUUAAGAACCAGCAAGUGCGGAUCAUCAUACUGGCAAGCCUUAAUCCGCUCGAAUAAGGAAGAGUGAGCCACAACACAUGCAAGAAAUCGACUGGACUCUGAAAUAUCUAACCUCACAAGUCAGACAGCUAAGAAUUGAAUCUCUAAAGCCAAUGGCCUCUCCUCUAAUGGAAUGAAUGCCAAACUGCCCAUUCUCUCGGCCGUUCUGCUCAAGGAAUCUGCAACCACAUUCGCCUUACUUAAAUGAUAAAGAAUGGUGAUAUCAUAGUCCUUAAAUAACUCAAGCCACAUGCGCUUCCUCGGAUUAAGAUCUUUUUUCUUAAACAGAUGUUGAAAACUUGGGUGAUUGGUGUAGACCUCACACGACACCCCAUAAAGAUAAUGCCUCCAAAUCAUAAGAGCAUGAACUAUUGCAGCCAACUCCAAGUCAUGAAUAGGGUAAUUCUUCUCAUGUGGCGUCAACUAACGAGAAGCAUCAGUAAUCACUCACCCCUCAAACAUCAAUACACAAUCCAAUCCUUCUAGGUCAAACCAACGAGUGUUGUAGUCAAUUCGGUCUUGAGCAUCUGAAAGCUCACCUGCAAUCAUAAGACCACCUAAAUUGAACACCCGUCUAGGUCUAUCUAGUCAAAGGAGCUGCAAUAGAUGAGAAGCCCUCCACAAAUCGGCAAUAAUACGCUGCUAGCCCCAAAACACUCUUGAUCUCAGUCAUUGUGGUAGGAUGAAGCAAACUCUAAACUGCCUCAAUCUUCCUGGGAACCACCUUAAUACCCUCAGUUGAUAUAAAAUGUCCCAAGAAAGCCACAGAAUCUAACCAGAACUCGCACUUAGAGAACUUAACAUUUAGCUUAUGUUCCUUCAAAGUCUGAAGUACUACCCGCAAAUGUUGUUUGUUCUCCUCCAUGUCACGCGAGUAGAUCAGUAUGUCAUCAAUGAAGACAAUAACAAAUGAGUCAAGAUAUAGCCUGAACACCUGAUUCAUCAAAUUGAUAAAUGCUACCGGAGCAUUAGUCAAAUCAAAUGACAUUAUUAGAAACUUGUAGUGCCCACAUCCGAAAAGCCAUCUUCGAAACAUCUGAAGCACAAAUCCUCAACUGAUGAUACCCAAAUAUCAAAUUGAUCUCCGAGAACAUCCUAGCACCCUGAAGCUGAUCAAAUAAGUCAUCAAUGCACGGCAAAUAUACUUGUUCUUGAUGGUAACCUUGUUCAGCUGGCGGCAGUCAAUGCACAUCCGCAUAUUGACAUCCUUCAUCUUCACAAAUAACACCAAUGCGCCCCAAGGCAACAUACUUGGCUUGAUGAAUAACUUCUCUAUCAACUCAUGAAGUUGCUCCUUCAGCUCUCUCAACUCCAUAUGAGCCAUAUGAUAAGGCAGAAUAGAGAUAUGCUUGGUUCCUUGCACCAGAUCGAUGCCAAAAUCGAUAUCAAAAUCUAGUGGCAUGCCUGGUAAAUCAGCAGGAACUACAUCGGAAAACUCCCAGAUCACAGGCACUGAAUCUAUUGUGGGAGUCUCCACCGCAGUAUCUCGAACAAAGGCCAGAUAGGCCAAACAACCCUUCUCAACCAUAUGUUAAUCCUUCAAGAAAGAAUUAACCCAACUGGAUGUACUACUAGAUGAACCUCUCCACACCAGCCUAGGCAACUCUAGCAUUGCUAAGGUAACAGUAUUGGCAUGGCAAUCAAGAAUGGCAUCAUGCAGAGAUAACCAAUCCAUGUCAAGGAUAACCUCGAAGUCAAUAAUAUCGAGCAACGGAAUAUUCGCUUUGGUCUCAUACCCACAGAAAGUCACCACACAGGACCGAUAAACCCAACCCACAAUAAUAGAAUCACCCACCGGUGUAGACACUUACAUAGGAAAAAAAAAAAAAAAAAAAAAAAAAAAAAAAAAAGAACACCCAAAGACUCACAAGAUACAUCUAGAUACUGAGCAAAAAGAGAAGAUACAUAGGAAUAGGUAGACCCUAGAUCAAAUAGUACUGAUGCAUCUCUAUGACAGACGAAAAUAAUACCUGUAAUCACAGCGUUAGAGGCUACUGCCUCUACCUAGUCGAAAAGGCAUAGAAUCUAGCCGGAGCAUCACUUGACUGGCCUCUACCUCUAGGGAGAUCCCUACCCACCUGCCCUCCCAUCGGACAAGCAGUGUGGUAGCUAGUGCGGUAAUCAUGAGCUGAUGAUCCUACUGCACUGCCUUUUUCUGAAGUCUAGGAAUAAACCUCUUCACAUGACCAAGAUGCCAACACUCGAAACAAUCUCUAAGUAUGUGAAACUUCUGACUUUGGAUCUAUCCCUGAUAGUCCAAGUGCCCACUGGAGGAACCCUGAAUGGCCAGUGGAUGGUAGGUACUCUCUGGAAUGGCUCUGAAGUAAGGUCGCGCUGGAGCACACCGAAUAGGCUAUAGUGCUAAAUACAUGGGCUUGCUAGGAUGGCCCCUCCCGAACUGACUUCUACCCCCAGACGGGGCACCACUGAACCAUCCAGAAUACCGAGGCCAUAUGUCCCUCGAUAUGGCUUCUCUGCUCUAACCUCGUAUGUGCUCGAUCCUCUGAGCUAUCUAGACAUCAUAGUGGAAGGAAUUCCCCAACUCUGCCUCUAGGUCCUUUGUAACAUGUAUCCCAUAGUGCAGGCCUGCAAUAAACUUUCGCACCCUCUCUACCUUUGUAUGGAGUAAUAUGACUACAUGACGAUACAACUCAGUGAAUCUCGCCUCAUAAUCGGUCACGGAUAUCUGACCUUGUUGGAGUCGCUCGAACUAACCCCAUAACUCCUCUCUUUAGUAUAAUCGAAUAUACUUCUCUAGGAAUAGGUGCAUGAACUGAUCCCAAGUCAAGGGAGGUGAACCUUCUGGCUUACCCAGAAGAUAAGACUGACACCAUCUAUAGGCUUUCCCCUCCAGCUGAAAAGUGGUGAAGUCUACCCCAUUGGACUGUACUAGUCCCAUAUUAUGCAGCCUCUUCCUGCAAUGGUCAAUAAAAUCAUAUGGGUCCUCUUACAACUCACUUCUAAAGGAGGGAGGAAGAAUCCUAGUAAACCUGUCCAGUCGCUUUUUCUCCUCGACGGUCACGGCAUGUCUGGUCUCUGCACUAGCCACUGCAACCGGCUGAACUUCACCCAUAUGUAGUACUCCUAGGAUCUGAUAAAUAGCAGCAGCAUGCUCUAGUUCAUGAGCGUUAGGGUCUGGGCUCCCUCUCCAGAUUGAGAUAUGGCCGAGCCUGCUGGAAAUAGUCUAGCUUGAUACAUAGAGUCCAUAAACCGCAACAUACGGCCCAUGACGUCCUAGAACCCUAGCUCGGUCGUGAACUCUAUCAGGGCCUACUCAGCUACAAGUAUCUCAUCAUGUUCCUCAAUAAUAGAAUCCUUCACUGGAUCCAAUGGUGGUUCCAUUAUGGCUACACUAGGAUGCCCUCGUCCCUCAACAGGUGCUUUAGCCCUCCCUCAACCUCUGCCUCUGAUGAUCGGGGUUGCAGCCCCUCUAUCGCCGGCUGAUUCCAUCACGCCUGUUCUUGCCAUCUGUGAGAGAGUAACAAAAAUAUUUAGACCUAGAACAACAUCGACAACAUGAUAGGAAAUGAAGAAAGAGAAGUUUCCUAACACCCUAUAGCCUCUCGAAGAUAAGUAAAGACGUUUUCACACCGAUCCGCAGGACUCUACUACGUUUGCUCAUGACUCAUGAAACCUAUGUGAACCUAGUGAUCUGAUACCAAGUUGUCACGACCCAAUUCCCACCAUAUUCCGUGAUGAUGUCCAACGCUGCUAUUAGGCAAGCAAACUAUAAAUCAUCACCACAAUCGAUCGCUCAUAACACUUUUAAAAUCAAAUAAGGAAAAUAAUUAAGCGGAAGUAAAUUUAGGACCCAUGAUAAAAUACUAUCAUCUUUACCAAGUUACGAAGUAUGAAUAAAACAUAAAGAUGAAUGGUGUAAUAGCAACUAAAACCAUGAAUAUCUGCUAAAAAUCCUCAAAACCCGGUGUCACAAGUGUAUGAGCAUCUAAUAAAAUAUACAAAACCAAUACAACUACUGUCUGGAAUGAAAGUAGACAGAAUACAAUAAAUAUAAGGGAAAAAUACUUCGGCUGUCGUGGGUCUAAGCAUAGAAAUGAGCUCACCAUCAAGUCUCCCAGUUGGUAUGCCUACACGCCUGAGUGUCCACCAGAUCUACCUAUCUCAAUACCUGCACCAUUAGUGUAGAAGUGUAGUAUGAGUACAUAAAUCAACGCAUACCCGGUAAGUAUCUAGUCUAACCUUGAAGAAGUAGUAGCAAGGGGACGACGUCGACACUUACGAGUGAUCCAAAUAAAAAAGAAGAAUAAAUACGAAAUUAUCAAAUAUUAAUUACCGCCUUAACUAGAAUAUAUGUGAUCAAUAUAAGGUGCGAAUGUCAAAGCUCCAGUCAGAAAAUCAUAUAUGCACUAACACCCUAACGAAUAUUACACGAUUCUGCCGAGGCGAACGACUCGAUUUCAUAAGAAUAGUGUUACAUGAUAAAGUCAAGGUCAUAUGGCCCGAUCCAUAAGUAUAUCUCGUAUUACUACUAAGGCAAACAACCCUCUUCCAUAUGAAUGUUUAAUAAUACAGCCGAGGCGAAUGACCUAAUCCCAGAAUAAUAGUGAAACUUUUAUCAUGUCACUAGCCUUACUCGUACAGAUACGUGUGAGUUUAAGUAAUCACCAAAAUACCGCUUAAAUAAGCACAGCACAAGGAUAUGAAUGCAAGAGAAAGCAUAACUCUACUGAUAAUCAAGUAUACUGCAAGAACAUAUAGCAACAAGUCUCGGUCAACUACGUAAGUUCUAGUCUCAAGCUCAAUCACGAUUCCAAGUAUUUAAACAAGCAAGAUUAAUUCAAGUCGUACAGUUUAAGGCAUGAUGUAAGUCUAAGUCUACUCAGACAUAAUCAAGAAUCUAGCUUAUGCAUGGAUGCUCAUCACCUCGUACGUGCAGAGCUCCAAUAGCAAGUAGCACAUACCAAAUAGAAUAUCUAGUGGGUAAAUUCCCUUGUACAAGAUUAGACAAGAGACUUACCUUGCUUCCAAGUCUAAUAACUGGCCCAACACCUUAAUAAUACCUCAAAUCGAUGUCGAGAAACUCAAAACUAGCCAACAAAAUGUGCAAACUAAUCAAAAUAUACUUAAGAACUCAUAAUUUAACUAUUAGAAUCAAUUCUCAACCCCACGCGAAAAGUCAAUAAAAGUCAACCCCAGGUUCAUGCGCUUGAAUUCUGGAAAUUUUAAAAGAUAAAUAUUACCCAUAGCAUCAUGAACUCAAAUAUAUAAUUUAUUUCCAAUUUCAUGCCCAAUUUCGUAGUCAAAUCCCAUUUUUAGCAAUUCUAGGUUUUCCAACCAAAACCCCAGAAUUUCUACUAAUUUUUAAUGUUAAUCUAUGUAUUUAGCUCACAACAAGUAGGAAUCACUUACCUAGUAAUACUUGUUGAAAAUGGCUCUUCAAGAAGAUCCCAAAUCGCCCAAGCUAAGAAAAAUAAGAUGAAAUGAGCUAUGUCUCAAAGUUAAAUUUUAUAUUCUACCCAGACAUCCUUCAUCGCGAUCGCGGAACAACCCUCGUGAUUGUGCAGGACAAUGCUACCCUUGCCCAAUCCUGCCUUUUUGCGUUCGUGGGCUCCCAUCCACAUUCACGAAGACCAUUACCACCCAUCCCUUCGCUUUCAUGGUCAGCCCUGCCGCCUUCGCGAAGGCCAAGUAUUGCCAGUUGCACCUUUCUUUCCUUCUUUGCAUUCGCGUAGGCUUCAAUGUGUUUGCAAAGAGUGUUUUGACUAUUAGCUCCCUUUUUUGUGUUUUGAGACCCUUCAUAGCUCUAUUUGAUGAUUUAUGACUUACGUACGUGGUCUGUGUCAAUUUAUGACUUGCUUGUAUAGUCCGUGUCAAUUUCCGGGAAGUCAUAAUGUGAAUUUUUGAAGAAAAUAUGAUUUUUCACUUCUAAUGUGGCUAGAGUUGACCACGGUCAAUGUUUUUCGUAACCAAAAUCGGAUCAGUAUUUUGACAAUUUCGGUAGGUUCAUAUGAUAAUAUUUGAUUUGAACGCAUGUAUGGUUAAGGUCCCGGGUGACCCGAGGUCGUUCUGUGCUUUAUAUAAAAAGUUGGAAAAUUGAGUUGAACUUUAAACAUUCUUGUGUUUUGUAUUUGAUUCUUGAUUUUUGAUGUUAAUUUGAUGAUUUGAGCUUACGGGUGAGCUACUGUUAUGUUAUUACACUUGUGUGGAUGUCCGGAUUGGAACCCAAGGGGCUCAAGUAAGUUUUCGGAUGCAUUGCGAAUGGUUUUGGACAGCUGAAGAAAAUUCUUGGUGUUGAUGGCCUUCAGGUCCCGCAUUUGCGAGAGGACCUGUUCGCAAAUAUGAGCAUCACAUUUGCGAUGACUAGGAAGGGGCUAGGCACUUACUUUUGCGAAGUAUCUUUCGCAUUUGCGAACUGGGGGGUAUCACAUUUGCAAUGUUUUUGUUGCAUUUGCAACACUGGGUUAUGGCCGGACAGCUUCGCAUAUGUGAAUCUUUGUUUGCUUUUGCAAUUGGUUGGACCUCCACGAAUGGGAAGGUUUGGUCGCUUUGCGACAGCUAGGAGGUUCAGGCACUAAUCGCAUUUGCAAUCAGUGGUGGUUCGCAUUUGAGAACAAGAGAUCGCUAUUACGAUACCUGCUGCUGGGUAAAAGUUGAGUAUUUUGGGACUUAGCUCAUUUUACACCAUUUUUGAGACCUAGACUCCAUAGAGGCAAUUUUGGGAGAGAAAUUUCUUCCCAACUUCAUAGGUUAGUAACUUUUUUCUUUAAUUUUAAUUCCAUUACCUUUUCAUGAAUUUUCACUAUCAAGUCUAAGAUUUCAUAGGCUAGAAAUUGGAGUUUUUGGUAGAAACUAGGGAUUUUGUAAAAUUGAGAUUUAGACCUCAAAUUAAGCUUGGAUUUCAAAACAAAUCACAUAAUUGGGCUCGGGGAUGAAUGGGUAAUCGGGAUUUGGUCUUAAUUUUAGAUUUUGACCACGUGGGCCUGAGUUAACUUUUUGUUGACUUUUUCAAUUAUUUUAAAGAUCGAACCUUUUUCAUUUGAGGGUAGUUUCUAAAGCUUGUUUUGACCUAUUUGAAUAAUAAUUGACUAGAUUCGGGUGGUUUGGAGUCUUGAUCCAAAUGGAAGGUUAUGUUGCAUUGUGAUCUUGUCCUGGAAAGAGGUAAGUGUUUUGGUUAACCUUGAUUUGAGAGAAAUAGGGUAUAAUCGAGUCUGUUUGUUAUGUGAUCUAUGUGUUGGGGGCAGUGUAUAUGUAAGGUGACGAGUGUAUGUGCGUUGGCCAUGGAUAAGCAUGCGGGUAGAAUUAACCUUAUUUGUGCCAUGUUACUUUAUGUAUUAUGUCUUCCAUGCUUUAGAUAAAUUGUAUAUUUCUUUGAUUUCUCAUAUUCAUAUUAUUUCCUAUGUUUAGAUUAUUGAGAUAUUGGGCGUUGAGAUUAUUGAAUUGUUGAUUGGUUGUUGGUACUAAAUUUUGUGUAAAUUCUCAUAUGAGGAGUUGUGUUCAAAUACUACCAAUGAUGAUGAAUAUGCUUCCCACCUUGCUUGGCAUUGUGUUGUAUGUGAUGCUUGGUGAGGAAGAGUGAGAUGCACAAAGGGUGUUGUCGUACUUGUGAGAAAGAGUGAUUGUGCACGAAUGGCAUUUUUGUGCUUUAUUCAUAUAUCAAUAUCAUUGCAAGAAGGGUAUUUCCAUGCUUGAGAGAAAGCGAGGAUAUGCACGAAGGGUGCUCUGUGCUUGCUAUUAUUUUAUGAUAUGAGGAUAAGAGUAAAAGCAUGAAGGGUGAUGUCGUGGCGCUUGUUGAUUUUGUUGUUCCGUACAUUGUUAUCCGAAUUGUGGACUUGGCUUUGUAAUUUAAUUUUGAAAGGAUUUUCAGAGUUGUAAAACUACGAGUUGUGGCUACUCAGUGACACUUUACUUUACUUUCCCGUUUAUGUCCCUUUGCUUGUGUACUUGUUAUCCCUCUCACUUGUUAUUACCCCGUUAUUAUACUUGACUUUACCUGUUAUUUCAUUAUUUCUUGUUAUAUAUAAGUGCACAGGUUUAUUUGUAGGUGUCUUGACUUAGCCUCAUCACUACCCCGUCGGGGUUAGGCUCGACACUCACUGAGUACAUUGGGUCGACUGUACUCAUACUACACUUCGGUACUUCGUGUAUAGAUUCGGACAUUCGUACAGUGGAUUCCUGAGAGGUGCUUAGAGGAUACCACGUAGACGACUCGAGGUAGAGCUAUAUCUCAUUCGCACGCCUUAGAGUCAUCUUCCAUAUCUGUUGUGUUGUUUCUAUUUUCUAGACAAUAUUGUAUUUCUUUGAAGUCCUUUUAUUUAUUAAACUCUAGUAACUCAUACACUUGUGACUCCACGUCUUGGGAGGGUGGAACGUUGGUGUUGGUUUUAGACUUAUCAUAAAUACUUCUGAUUGCUUUUACACUUUAUUAUUAUCUUGCUUUUAGUCGUUAAUUGCUAUUCUUUCAUAUUUUCUGUGGUGUAUUGGCUUGCCUAGCAAGCAUUGUUAGGCGCCAUCACGACCCCGAUUGGUUGGGAUUUUGGGUCUCGACAAGUUGGUAUUAGAUCCCUAGGUUGCAUAGGUUUCACGAGUCAUGACCAAGCUUAGUAGAGUCUUGAGGAUCGGUAUGGAAACGGCUAUACAUAUCUUCUGAAGACUAUAAGGAUUCAGGAAACUUCACUUUCUUUCUUUCUCUAUCGUAAGACUUGGUUCUAUCAUGAAUUUUGAAUCUUUCUUCUCUUAUUCUCUCACAAAUGGUGAGAACACGGGCUUCAUCUGCAGUUGAGCAGGAGCAGGAACCCCAGGUUGCAGAAUCCUGAUACCUGAUAGCCCCCCUCCGGCCUUCCCUUAAAUGCAAACACGAUGUCCAGGAUGCGAACCCGAAGGCCACUGCCUCAUGCUCUGCGAACACAACACACCCAUCACGAAUGCGUAGAGAAAACAUCACCUGCCACCAAAAUACUCUACGCAAUCAUGAUAGCCCUUCCGAGAUUGCGAUGAACAUCAGAACACUAGAAGACAUCUGAUCCAAAAUAAGGGAAAUUGAUCCGCGAUCACCCCAAAACGCACUUGAGGCCCCUGGGACCCCGUCUAAUCAUUCCAACCAAUCUCAAAUCAUAAUAAGACCUACUUGAUGCCUCAAAUAACAAAACAUAACAUCAAAACCUCAAAUUGCACCUCAAUUCAAAUUUAGUGAACUAAUAAAAAUUUCUGAAUUCCAAACUUAUGCUGAAUAGCCUAAACAACUCGGAAUGACCCCAAAAUUUUGGAAUGACCCCAAAAUUUACACAUAAGUCAUAAAUCACUAUACGAACCUAUCCAAGGCUUGGAAUCCCAAACAGAUAUCGAUAACCACAAAGUCAACUAUGGGUCAAACCUAUGACCUAAUAAACCUUCAAAUUGCCAACUUUUGCCAAUUAGAGCCAAAACAACCCUGGAACCUCCGAAUCCAAAUCCAAACAUACGCCUAAGUCUAAAAUAACCAUCCGGACCUAACCAAAUUGUCAAAACUCUAAUAUGAGGUCAAAUAAAAAAGUCAAACUUGGUCAACACUUCCAACUUAAGCUUCCAAAUUAGGAACUAAGUGCUCCAAUUCAAUCCAAAACCUCGCCGAAACCAAACCAAUCAUCCCCACAAGUCACAUAACAAUAAAUAUACCUACGGAAAGCAUCAAAUAAGGGAACGGGGCUAAAAUACACCACAACGACCAGUAGGGUCGUUACAUUCUCCAUCUCAUAAACAAACAUUCAUCCUCGAAUGAGUAUAGAGACAUAUCUAAAGUGCCAAAAAGAUAAGGAUAUCGGCUCCGCAUAUUAUGCUUGGUCUCCCAAAUAUCCUCCUCAAUCGUUUGACCUCUCCAUUGGACCUUCACCGAUGCAAUGUUCUUUAACCUCAACUUCCGGACCUGCCUGUCCAAAAAGGCUAAUGGCUCUUCGGUAUGAGUCAAAUCCUUAUCCAACUACACCGAGAUGAAACCUAACACAUGUGACGGAACCCCAUAGUACUUCCGGAGCAUGAAAACAUGGAAUACUAGAUGAACUCUCGAUAAGCUGGGUGGCAAAGCAAGUAUGUAGGCCACCUCACCAACCCUCUCUAGAAUCUCAAAAGGACCAAUAUACCGAGGACUCAACUUUCCUGUCACGCCUCAAACCUGGGGAGGCAUGGCCGGCACCCGAUGCCAUACUCGACUCGAGCGUACCACUCUGUAACUGUGAACUCUGGAGGGGUAACCCUCAACUUAGGCCAAUGAGGCCAUAUUCUGAAUCAUCUGAAAAUAACAUCUCUUUAUAUGAGGGAAAAACAUACCCAAAAGCUGACAUAUAUAACUAUGUACGCGACAAAGCUGCCAUGAACAUCUACUAAUAUACAAAAUAUACAUGACUCGUCUACAAGCCUCUAGAGAUGAUUGUAUCAUUGUUGGGAUAGAGCCUCGACCUACCCAUCAACAUGUAUAAGAAAACGGACUCCAAGGUCUAGACCUGGUAACUCCGGGAAAGUAGAGCUUACCAACCAAGUUGAUGUUUGGAUCUGUUAGUACAAAAUAAUGUACCGAGUACGUAAGGCAACAGAAUAAGUGAAAGCUGAAGCUGAACUGAUAAUAUAAUAACUGAAAGUAACUUGGAGUCAAAGAUAAUCUGAAGAUAUGCUUACCUGCUGAUACUAGCUCAACUCUCUCAAUAUAGUAUGUAAAAUAGAUGUCCUGCCCUAUAAGGCUCGGUACGUGUAACUGCUCUGCCGUAGUAGUCUUGCUCGUAGGCGCUCGUCCAUACUAGUCUGUGUAUCUCGGUCAUUCUGGGCUCGCUCAUAGGCGCCCGGCCACAAUAGGCUCGGUAUAUAACUUACUACCUGAUCAGAGGUUUCCUAAUAGGGGCCUACCCACCGAUUAUAGCUCAAUGGUGGUGAAAAUGCUGAAGUACUGCCCAAUAGGAGCCUGUGCACCGAUUAUAGCUCGAUGGUGGUGAAAAUACAGUAAUAUUACUCGUAUUGUCUUCUUCCAAUCAAGAGAGCAGAGGGUCUCUCUCACUACAUAUAUAUAUAUAUAUAUAUANNNNNNNNNNNNNNNNNNNNNNNNNNNNNNNNNNNNNNNNNNNNNNNNNNNNNNNNNNNNNNNNNNNNNNNNNNNNNNNNNNNNNNNNNNNNNNNNNNNNNNNNNNNNNNNNNNNNNNNNNNNNNNNNNNNNNNNNNNNNNNNNNNNNNNNNNNNNNNNNNNNNNNNNNNNNNNNNNNNNNNNNNNNNNNNNNNNNNNNNNNNNNNNNNNNNNNNNNNNNNNNNNNNNNNNNNNNNNNNNNNNNNNNNNNNNNNNNNNNNNNNNNNNNNNNNNNNNNNNNNNNNNNNNNNNNNNNNNNNNNNNNNNNNNNNNNNNNNNNNNNNNNNNNNNNNNNNNNNNNNNNNNNNNNNNNNNNNNNNNNNNNNNNNNNNNNNNNNNNNNNNNNNNNNNNNNNNNNNNNNNNNNNNNNNNNNNNNNNNNNNNNNNNNNNNNNNNNNNNNNNNNNNNNNNNNNNNNNNNNNNNNNNNNNNNNNNNNNNNNNNNNNNNNNNNNNNNNNNNNNNNNNNNNNNNNNNNNNNNNNNNNNNNNNNNNNNNNNNNNNNNNNNNNNNNNNNNNNNNNNNNNNNNNNNNNNNNNNCUCUCUUGAUUGGAAGAAGACAAUACGUAAUUGAAUAUGAAAUCUCUAUAAGGAAAAAUACCAAAAUUUAUGAGACUAGGAUAAUGUACAUAAGUUCAAGAAUACGAACUUCUGUUUAUGUCUCGUUAUCAAACACAUAUAGUUAUGGGAUCAUGACAAAAUGAAGAAAGGUUUAGCCUUAACAUACCUUAUCACAAUAUGUCCAAUAACCACAUUAAACUCGUCUCGUUUUACUUUAUUCUACAACAACGAUAACAAUACUAUCAUCAAGUUAUGGAAGGUAUAACUAUCGCACGACGAACGACAAGCUUAUUUUAUAAUAAAACGGGCAACAUCUCCCCUAUAAUCUUUACUUCCUCCUAAUUUGACAUAACACCAACAACAAUAAGAACACAGCAAUAACAACAUGUAUACAUCAUUUUCUAACCUUAUAUCCAUCACAAAAUACCAUAAAAUAGCCCACACACCCCAAUUAGUUCAUAUACAAAAUGACAACCCUAGUAGUGUUAAACAAUCUGAAAAUGUAACGACGAACAACCAACCCCCCUACCAUUAUGUGGUGUUUCUCCACAGACAUUAUCCUCCCAAACUUCAUAAAAACAGUAUCAAAAGAGACAACCCAACAGCAACACGAAACAGCCCACAAAACAGUCCCAAAAGUUCAGCAACUCAAAGCUGAUUUUUCAGUUUACUAAAACACGUUUCGACUUGUAUUUUCUUUCAAAUUGAGAAACACAACCAACAGUACAUAAUUAAGCCUCUUAUCCUAUAAACCAGCCAUGAAUUCAACUUAAAAAUAAGUUUACAACUAGCCAACAGUAAUGCACCAACAAACAGCAUACCACUCUUUCGAAACUCACUAGGUCUAGUCUUUGCGAUUGAGUUACAACUCGUACAGACAUAGAUAAUGGAAGGAGAAUCAUAAAUUUACCUUGGACUUAGUGGAAUCCACAAAACCUAUCCCUUCUUCAUCUAAAAUCUGUAAGGCCCCGUAAAAUUUCACCUAAAAACCUAGGUUUCGUGGUGCCAAAGUAGCCUUAUGUGUUGAUGAGUGUAGAGAUUAUAGGGUGUUGAAGAAAAUUUUUGGCAGAGUAGGGCAUUUCUGUGGUCCACUAUGCGAACGCAGAAUCACUUUAUGGGUCGCAGAACCACCGCAAAGUAAAGCAGAAAAAUGGCCCAUUUAUGGAGGUUGUUUUGCGGUCCAUUAUGCGGCUGCACAAUUAUUUUGCGGGCCGCACAAUCUAUCACAGAUCCAGCAUGAAGAUUUUUAGAGGGGAGUUCUGCGGCGCAUUAUGUGACCGUAGAACUGGUCUGCGAAUCGUAGACCUGCCGCAGACCCAACCCGAACAGACUAGUUUUGGGACCCUUUUCUGCGGUCCCAUUUGCGGGUCGCAUACCUGUUUUGAAGUCUGGUCUGUGACCGCAGAUCCGGCUUCUUAGAGUUUAUGUUUGGAAAAGUUCACCCGAUCCCAUUUUUAUAAAAACAACUUGUGGGUUAUUUUUGCUGGUUCUAACUAAUAUUUUGAGAGCGGGGAAGUGCUCUAGAGUGAGAGGGGGUUCUUAAACUAAUUUCUUACCAAUAUUUUCUCAAGUAUUGAAAAAUUCACAAGAAAGAAUUACAAGGUCUUCAUCCUUGAGGUAAGAUUCUACAUCCUAACCCUUAAUUUUGAGAUUUAACUGAAAAUAGGUAAUAAGGCAAGCAAUUCUUGGGUAUAAGAGUGUAUAUAUGCAUGCAUUUACAAUCAUGAGUGUGGGAAGGUAGUUGAGCCCAAAUGGGUAAACCUUGAGUUGUGGGGUGAGGGAAAUCCAUCAUAGGAGAAGCUAGAAAACAUAAUGCCCACCUAGUGUUUGAUAAAAUGCUCAAAUGAGCUCGAACCAUGAACUCCUUCCUAAUUUGUGUUCAAUUUUGUUAUAUUUCUAAAUAGAUCAAAUUGGCUAAGAUUUUCGAACAUUGUAGUAAUUUAAGGAAGCUCAAAGCGAGGUAUGUUAGCUAAACUCCUUUUUUAUUUGAACCCCGCAAUGUCCUUGUAAGUCCCGUGUGCUCAUUAUAAAUUGAUUCUUCCAAAUAAGCCUUGUGUCAAAAGAUAUGUGUGUACAAUAUGUAUUCCAAAAGUUCUUAUUAUGUUGUGUUAUGAUUUGAGAAUGUGAUUUAAGUAUGGGUUGUGUGCUAAUAUGUUAUGACUUAAAAACGUGAUUCUAAUAGAAACUAUCAUAUCGAAUUGUGCAAGAAAUCACACGUACCUAAGGCCCUUAAUUGCUCAAAUGUGUACUUAAAGUCUUGAAUAGAAAUGUUUGUUCUUGACGAUCCGUGAUGAUGUUUGAAAUUUAAUUUGUAAGGAUGAAAUAUGAAAUACGGCCAACGUACCAGGAAUGAUAUUACAUUUUUUGGCCAUUAGUGCCAAUAGAACUAAGAGGCGUGCAAAGUAUUAUGAAAUGAGUGGUAAAUCCCUCUAAAUAAUAAUUGUUAUGGGAGUAUCGUUUAGUCAUCGAGGUAGGGUAGGUCUAAAUAACCUAACCCCGAAACUACACGUGUCGGUGUAGGAGUGAUUGAGGGGUAAACCCCCCGUGUUAAUGUGAUGAGGUUGUUUCCUCUUAUAUGGGAUGAGAUUGAUGUGUUGAGAUGUUUCCCCUUAAAUAGGAUGAGAUUAUUUCUAACGAGAUGUGAUGUGAUGUCGACCCAUACGGCAUUGUGGUGAGACGGCUUAGCCGAUCGGGCUAAGAUUGGACGCCAUGCCGCGCACAUGGUGGUAUUGUGAGUGGAUGUCUUGAGGCGAGACGGCUUAGUCGGUCGGGCUGAGAUCGGACUCCGUGCUAAAAACACGGUGGUGUAUCGGUGCUAAAGAUCUCCCAAUUUAAGGAUAUUGAAACUUACUUGAAAUUUACCUUUCCCCUAACUUGACACCCUGGUACUAUUUGAGUCUCUUAUUGAUUUCAUGCUUCCUUCUCCAUUUACUAUUACUCAUUCUAUUGAGAGGGCGUUUAGUUUUACAUACUAGUAUUAUUCCAUAUGUACUAACGUCCCUUUUGCAGGGGGCGCUGCAUCCUUAAUGAAUGCAGGUAGUUCCAUAGCAGGUGGUGUUGGUCUAUGAUAGCAGCACACCCUCUCCUCAGCUGACUUGGUGAGCCCACUUCAUUUCGGGGUCAUGUAUCUCUUGUCCUUUGUACACAGUAUUUUGAGGUAUAGUCGGGGCCUUAUUGCCGGCACUGUCGUAGUACUCUUUUGUUUCUGUUAGAGGCUCCGUAGACAUGGUGUGGGUUGCAUUUAGUUUUGGGAAAGUUAAACUGAAAGUAUUGUAAUUGUAUCAUAUGAACCACUUUAACUACGAAUGCAUAGUGUACUAUUCUGGAGACUUGUUAAUGACAUAACUAAUGGAAAUGAACUGGUGUUAUUCAUAUGACCUCUUACUACCUAAUUAACUAAAUAUAUCUUCUCGUUAUUGAUGGGUGAAUUGGGUAAAUGGAUUAUGCAGGCUUUCUCGACCGGGGUAUCUCGGUUGAGCACCAGUUGUGCUCCCCGAGGUUGGGGCAUGACAAAAUCAGUCCCCCAACGCAGCUACAAGAAGGAGAAAGAGAAACUAGCAAGCUGUUCGGGGUUUUCGGCACUAGAAUCACAUCGUAACACCCGAAAUAACCUAGGGUUUGUGUGGGAUUUUUGUGGAGGAGUUGUAGGGGUUCAAUCUGGUUUUCUUGGUCUGAAAGAUGGGUGAAAGAAAUGAGUUAAUAAGCCCGUAAAAUUCCCCUCUUGGCCGACUUUAGGAGCUUUUAAUUGAGGCCUCUCCUUUUGGUAAGUAGGUGAUGCACCUACUUGUCACCUACCAGUCUGCGUAGUCUCGUGAAAAUGCGAAUAUCUCUCUACUCCAAUGAUGUAUCAAUGAACGGUUUAAUCCAUUGGAAACUAGACUCGUAGAUCUUCAUUUUUAUAGAUAUAUCAUCCUAUAAUUCUAAGUACAUUGGGAGAAAUGCUCAGCUACAUUUGACCUAAGUUUCAGCAUAUUUAUGAAUGUAACUUGUGAUGAUCUUUGCCAACUUUUGUUCCACAACUCGCUUGACUUCAAAACAUAACAUAAGACUAUAACAAAAUUAAAAUAACUCAUAACAUAUCCUCCUUAUCAUUUUGAGCACCCUAGUCUCACCCCAAAAAUUGCAUGUUAUAACAUUCCCAACUUGUCGACUUUCGACGAAACCUAUUUUCUUCAAUUCGUUUAGCUUCUAAGCCUUUCAACCCUCUUGGUACCUGCAGUUCAUGAUCUUAAAUAUUUGUAACCUCCAAGUUAAAAUGAUUAACUUACUUUAUGCACUUUCAAAUAGGAUAUAAUUUCUGAGCUUACAUCAAUUGACUUACGACGUACUCUCACGUACAAAAAUAUGGGGUGUAACAUCAUUCCCUCCUUUGGAACAUUUGUCCUCAAAUGUUGACUGAUGCGCUUAUCAGUCUCAUAACCUAUAACUCUUACGAAUACUUUAGUAUUGUCCUUGACAUCUAGGCAACUAUUCUGUGAAUAAAUCCAAAGCCCAGGGCAUUCCUCCCUUUAGGCUUCUUUCUCGCACCACGGCCUGUGGUCAGAAUUCUUCCAAUCUCAUUACUAUUGCUACCUUCUGUCGUGCAGCCUGUACGACUUUAUCCCUAUAUGUGUGCCUAUGCCACUCUUCUCCCCUUCUUUCUUCAUAUUUUAGCCAAUCUAUAGGCCUUAUUUUGUUAACCUACAUAGAACUAUUACAAUCUGUCCCUCUGGGCAUCUAUAGGUAUACUGGAGUCCUUCGCUUGGUACUUUGUUGACCUUAUGACUAUCACUACAUCUUGUUUCAUAGCCUUGAUUAUCUACCCUUACGGCUUUACUAUAUCUAAGUAGGUUAUAGUAUACCAUAACACUUACUUCAGUUUGUUAUUACCAAGGUCUGCUACCCAACUCCAGGUUACUCUUUCCCUGCUUAUCCUAUAUGUAUAAAUCAAAGUCCCUUAAUGCUUCCUCAUUACUAUUCAUCUUAAGAAUGACAACCUAAUCUCAUCUCAUAUUUUGGAACUUUUAUCCAUGUAUUGUUGAUUCUCUUUAAUGUUGAUCUAUAAUCUACCACUGAUAACUUGAAACCUCUUAUGUAAUAUAUUGUCACCAGGGCUCACGUCUAUCGGGGAACAUCUGGAGUUAUUUGCCUAAUUCAUUUAGGGAUAAUACUAUACUUCAAUAACCAUAUUUCAUAGCAUCCCAACGUGAUUCACAUUAUGGGUGUAUUUUAAUCCUGUACAAUCCAUGAAAUCCCUUUUCUUUGAAUCAUUACCCAAUCAAAGGCCUAAACGUCAUCCUCUUAUCUAUCGCAAUUACACCCUUAUUCUACCACUAGAGCAGCAUUCUGUCUCUUCUAAAUGCCCCUAGUUUUAAACUCCUCUAAGUUCAUUCAGGCUAUACUGAGCUUUUUAUAACUUACAAAAAUCAUCAUCCCUCUUGUUUUGAUGGGUUUAAUCUUGAGGACUUACCUCUUCUCAACACCUUCUCACUCAUCUUUUCUUAUCCUUACUCGUGUCUACCUAAAACUUUGUUUUUCUACCAUACUUUAGCUUGCGACCUAUACAUAUCUAUUUAUACUACUCGCAACCUUCCUUUAACAUGCUAGCACCAUAGAUUUCCUUAUGUUAUUCUGGAACCUCAAGCGAGACAUCACACUAUCUCUAACUCUUCUUUACUCUCUUAACUAGACCUCUUGGUACAUGGAAACCAUAGGGUGAAAGAUAUGCUACUGACGACACCACUAUCAUUUCUGGAUACUGAAUCACAUCUCUUCUAGCCUUCUACCUGAAGUAUAGACUAUUCACAACCUUCUGCACUUGAGUAUCUCCUACCUUCUUCAUAUUUACCUUACUUACCAUUAAAUCUCGCAUCGUGUCUCUGUCUCUUUCAUAACCUCCCUUCAACAUAGGUGGAAUUCACAUCCACACCUAGAAGCUAUACUAUAAUACGUGCAACUCUAGUGCAUACACAAUCCGGCGGGAGCUUCAUACUGACUUCUUAUGAGGCUGAUACUCUUCUAACUUGCUUUAUCGUAGAGCCAUUAUAGAAUCUGGCCGUUGCACUAUCACUCUUAUACCACUGAUAUUAAGAUUGAUUCUGCAAUGUUCUGAAUCAGGAUUUCCAUAAUCAUUGGGGUCUAAUAAUCAGACUCCUGAUUCACUUAGCUGAUGUAACUCUUUAGUUUCCUCUUCGAUCUCAGCCUUUAAGUAGGCUUACUCUAUCUUCCGAUCUGUGGCUCAGGGUAUUAGCUAUUACUUUCGCCUUUCGUGGAUGCUAUGGAACAUCCAUAAUAUAAUCUGCUAACAAUUGAAGCCUUUGUCUGUGAGGUGGACUCAAUUCUUUCUUUUAACUUAUAUUGGAGUCUCCCAAAGAUGUAUUAAUGUCAACAUAUAUGCUGCAUGGAUAACACUCCAAAAUCUUAAGUGAGUUCAUAACGUAACUAACUUUGGGUCAUAGAUCAAAUAAUUCCUUUCGUGCCUUCUCAACUUUCGUUAAAAGUAAGCAAUUACUUUUCCUGGUCGUUUCGCCACUUGUUGCAUGAAUACUUGGCAUAUCUUAGUGCCCACAUAUAUUGGAAAUUUGUGCAACUCAUAUGAUCUCGAAUAUUGAUAUGGAUUUUAAUUCUCAUUCCUUAGUCACCAAAGGUGCCACUUUCUUAUGGAGUGCAUACAAUAUUGUAGUGAGACUGUUGUUACAAGAUCAUUUCUUCUUUAGGUCACUAUGCUUAUGUUGAAGCCUUCUUCCUUAUUUCCUCAUCCAGUCUUUUGUUGUAGCACUUAGGGAAGACCCUCUGACUCUUGUAAAGCUGCGAGCUUAUUACGUCAUAUACCCGACUGAAUUUUUGAUGUUCUUACUCUCCUAUAAUUAUUCUUAGUCACUUACCUCAGUGCCCUUGUGCUCGUAAGGUUACUUCCAAACUCAAAUUUUGAUUGUCUCCCCAAUGGAGCUCUCUUUUAUAUCCCUAACACUUAUAUAGUAUCAUUAACUACCCAACACUUAUCUAAAUAUUUCUCAAUGAUUACGAUCUCGUAUCUGUGAGACUGAAUUACCUAUGCUCGGGUUCACUACAUUUAUCUUGCACGAUCAACUAAUUAAUUUGUAACCUCUUGUUUAGCCAUAACUAGGCUCUUCCUGAAUCAACUACUAACUUUUCGUUGGUCCAUUCUCAUAUCUAUAUCCCGUGUACUCUCUCUUAAGUAUUUCCUUUGUCUUAACUUACGACUCGCACUAACUCAUUAUGUAUCAAGUGUCCAUUGACACUUAUUUAUCAAUAACAUCCUGGUUGGGAACCUUUACUGCCUCUCCGCGGCAUUGUGCUUGCAUAAUGUUCUUGGGUUCUAACAUAUCUGCAGGAUUUAAAUAAGCGCAGUCUCAUCCCUUUCACAUUUUUGUCGCAUUCUUCCUUCACCAUUCUAUAAUUACCUAAACCACUCAACUCCGACUUAAUACCAUAUCACACCAUGUUCUCCCCUUUAGGGGAGUACUAACAAUCAAAGGUAUGAAGAUUUACCUACAAAUGUUUUACCUUUUCAUUUUCGGCGUCUUUUGACAUCUUCACUAAAUCUUACCAGCCUUGUGGUAACCCCUCUGUACCAGGGAUAACUGAAUUUCUUACGCACGAGGGUGACACCUAGUGUAACUAGAACACUUAGUCUCUUAAGCUUAACUCUGCUCACAGUGCUUGCUCUAGGGAAGCAUAUUCUUGAAUGACCUUUAAAGGUUAUUCUUCUAUCGUCCAUUCUAUUUUUGCCAGAAUGCGAUCUCUGAAAUUCUCACAAUAUCUACUAUUAUCAAAUCCUCUAGUCCCUAAUUCAUGUUCGGUAUUAUCUUGUUUACUAGCCCAUGCUGAUCCUUAUUACUCCAAGGGCCUAACUUAGCCUUCUAGCAUUGUAGUCACUAACUCAUUUCUCGAAGUGAGGGAAUGACUUUAUGGCUUAUACAGUUUUAUUGUGUCAAGGUCCGUAACCUCUUGUCUUUUCCUUUACUUGACCAUAGACUCUGUCAUCCUACCAUAUUUGGAUUUACCGUUAUCACCCAUUUAUCAUACCUUACACAUAAUGCUUCAUUUACUCUCUUCUUAUUCCCCUGCUAAUAUUUCUAUCUAUCACAUUAUUCUAAAAACUUCAACAAAACAUUGUUUCACUUUUAGCUCCCCUGGAUCAAUCCACCAUUUUGGGUUACUCUAACCCAAGCUAGAUCCCGAUAUCCCAUCCUUCUCUUAAACUAUAUAUGUUAGCUCCCACGGGGCAAAACUGAGAUGGGUGUGGCCAAUUGUACAUACCUCUAUUUAUGUUGAAGGUAAAUUAGAAUCCUUAUAUUUCUCUACCUGAAUUGGAAAUUCGGAUAGUCUUCAUUAACUAGGUACCUUUUACCCCCCUUCACCUUGCUUUUAUUUCAUGUUGAAACUUAUUCUUUUACCUUCUGAUACUCUCAUGGCCUGCGAUUCACGGGAUGUGUUUGAUAUUUCCAUCUUAGGGUCUUAAGUAGGAAAUUCGCUCAUCUAGUAUGCACGAUCUGAUAGGGCCUCAAACUGGGCCACAUUGUCAAGAAUUCUCUCUCUACUAGUGCCCUUACCUGCUACUGUAUUAGUCCUCUGUCUAGCUGUAACUUAUCUAAUUGCAAGUAUCUCUAUAUCAUUAGCAAACAUAAGUCAUGGCUUGAACUCUUAUGACUCAGAUCUAUAGCAUGAUUUGGAUUUGGAAGAAGGGUAACAGACUCCUAAAUGCCUUGUAGCUUCCUGUUUAUAUAAUGUGGUGCACAACACAUCUAUAAACAAGGCUCUACUAGACACGACUUAUAGACUCCCUAGGAUAGAACUGCUCUGAUACUACGUUUGUCAUGCCCCAAACUUGGGGAGGCGUGGCCGGCACCCGGUGCCAUACUCGGCCCGAGCGUACCACUCUGUAACUGUGAACUCUGGAGUGGUAACCCUCAACUUAGGCCAAUGAGUCCAUUUUCUGAAUCAUCUAAAAAUAACAUCUCUUUAUCUGAGGGAUAAACAUAUCCAAAAGUUGAUAUAUAUAACUGUGCAGGCCAACAAAGCCUCCAUGAACAUUUACUGAUAUACAAAAUAUACAUGACUCAUCUACAAGCCUCUAGAGAUGACUGUAUCAUGGUCGGGACAAGGCCUCAACCUACCCAUCAACAUGUAUAAGGAAACGGACUCCUAGGUCUAGACCUGGUAACUCCGGGGAAGUAGAGCUUACCAACCAAGCUGAUAUUUGGCUUUGUCUACUAGGAAGGUCUAUCCAGCUGUCUAUCAGGACCUAUAGGCAUGAAAUGCAGUGUCCCCAGCAAAAGGGACGUCAGUACAAAAUAAUGUACCGAGUAUGUAAGGCAACAGAAUAACUAAAAGCUGAAACUAAACUGAUAAUAUAAUAAUUGAAAGUAACGUGGAGUCAAGAUAAUCUGAAGAUAUGCUUACCUGCUGAUACUAACUCAACUCUCUCAAUAUAGUAUGUAAAAUAGUUGUCCUGUCCUAUAAGGCUCGGUACGUGUAAUUGCUCUGCCGCAGUAGGCUCGCUCAUAGGCGCUCGGCCAUACUAGGCUCNNNNNNNNNNNNNNNNNNNNNNNNNAAGACUCUAUAAGGAAGAAUACUGUAACUUAUGAGGCUAGGAUAAUGUACAUAAGUUCAAGAAUACAAACUUCUCUUUAUGUCUCGUUAUCAAACACAUGUAAUUAUGGGAUCAUGCCAAAAUGAAGAAAAGGUUUAGCCUUAACAUACCUUACCACAAUCUGUCCAAUAACCACAUUAAACUCGUCUUGUUGUACCUUAAUCUACAACAACGAUAACAAUACUAUCAUCAAGUUAUGGAAAGUAUAACUAUCGCACAACGAACGACAAGCUUAUUUUAUAAUAAAACGGGCAACAUCUCCCCUAUAAUCUUCACUUCCUCCCAAUUCGACAUAACACCAACAACAACAACAAGAAAAAAAAUAACAACAUGCAUACAUCAUUUUUCAACCUUAUAUCCAUCACAAAAUACCACAAAACAGCCCAUACACCCCAAUUAGUUCAUACACAAAACGACAACCCUGGUAGUGUCAAACAACCCAAAAAUAUAAUGACAAAACACCAGCCAACCACCCUGCCAUUAUGUGGUAUUUCUCCACAGCCUUUCUCCUCCUAAACUACAUAAAAACAGUAGCAAAAGAGACAACCUAACAGCAACACGAAACAACCCACAAAAUAGUCCCACAAGUUCAGCAACUCAAAACUGAUUUUUCAGUUUACUAAAACACGUUUCGAUUUGUCUUUUCUUUCAAAUUGAAAAAAUAAACAACAUUACAUAAUUGAGCCUCUUAUACUAUAAACCAGCCACGAAUUCAACUUAAAAAUAAGUUUACAACCAGCCAACAGUGAUGCAACAACAAACAUCAUACCACUCUUUUGAAACUCGCUAGGUCUAGUCUUUACGAUCGAGUUACAACUCGUAUAGACAUAGAUAAUGGAAGGAGAAGCAUAAAUUUACCUUAAACUGAGUAGAAUCCAUGAAACCUAGCCCUUCUGCAUCCAAAAUCAGUCCCCCAAGGCAGCCAGAAGAAGGAGAAAGAGAAACUAGCAAGCUGUCCGGGGUUUUCGGCAUAGAAUCACAUUGUAACACCCGAAAUAACCUAGGGUUUGUGUGGGAUUUUUGGGAAGGAGUUGUAGGGGUUCAAUUUGGUUUUCUUGGUCUAAAUGAUGAGUGAAAGAAAUGAUUUAAUAAGCCCUUAAAAGUCCUCUCUUGGAUGACUUUAGGAGCUUUCUGGUUUGCUGUCUCAAUGUUUCAACCAAACAUGUUACUUUGUUGUUGAGAACUUUAAUGUGGUGUUUGGUCAAUCCUGCACUCUUUAAUAUUGCCCAGGCUUCUAGUUGAAUCCCAAUACAAAUAAUUUCUACUAUUAUGCAUAGUUGGCUAGUUUAAGUUCUGGAGUCUCUCUAGCCUUAAAAUGAUAUGUCUUCCUACCAUGAUAUCUUUAGACUUUGGAAUCUUUUGUGUUAUAGUUAGCAUGAUUAGGAUUCUUAUUGAUUGUUAUAGAUCAUGUCUACUUGCCUGUUUACUAUGUAUAGUAAUCAUUCCCUGACUAUUAUUCUAUCACACCUUCAUGACUUAGAUUCCUAGUUUUAAAAUCCCUUUUAGACUAACUCUGGAUCAUGCUCUACUCUAAAUUCACUCUGGAAAUCUUAGCAUGUUCAUCUUGUAUAUGUCUAGUAUUUUUACCCUAUUAACCCCAAAUAGCAUGUCUCCCCAACUCUCCUAAUGUUGUGUUGGUCGCCUGCUGAAUGAUUGAACAUAUGAUUGUUAGUUUGUAAUGUCAAACUUACCAUGUUGAGACUAAGCCCUAUUGAUUCUCCUAGUUUUCAUGUUUUGUUAUAUAAUAAAUCUUGUCACUCUUGCUUCCGAAAUGCAAAUACGUUUCCUGUAAACCCUGCCAUCGUGUCCCUAUGGGAGUUGUUAUUAGUAGGCUUCAGAAUUAUUUAAAUGAUUGUCAUAUGUGGUUCGUUAAUUUAUGUAGUUACGUUGUUAAUCUGCAAAUUGCUGGGUAAGUGGGACUUCUAUUUGGGCUUGAUGUGGGUCCAUGUGUAGGCCUGAGCUGUGCAUUUAAUACACUCUAAUAUUUGAGCUGAGUUUAUUGAAGGCCCGGGCAGUACUGGGUUAUCUCCUCUUGGGCCUGUUCUAUUUGUUGGGCCCAUAAUCAUUUCAAUUUUGUAAUAUUUGAGCUUAUUUUUCCUUUAUUGGGCAUGUAAUAAUUUGUAAACAAACAGUUGGGGAAAUAGUGAAAGUGGGGGGUCGGGAUACUUUAAUUUUCGUAUAAAAGGGUAGAAAACAUGCUUAUAGGAUCCACGUGCUUCACUUCUAUACACUGUUAGAAAGAAUGCCUAUAGGAUCUAAGUGCUUUACAUGCUCAACAUGCUCUAUUUCUAUGCGCCAUUAGAUAGCAUGCCUAUAGGAUCCAAAUAUCAUUGGUUAUUUGUUGAGCAUGUUCUACUGCUAUGUGUUGUUAGAUAGCAUGCCUAUAGGAUCUCGGCGAGUAGUCAAGACUUGUUAUUUCUUCCAGUCACGUGACUCAUCUAGAUACCAUGUUCAUAGGACCUUAAAUUGAUUAAUCAAACAGUCGUUGUUGCUAUUCUGCCCGCCUAGAAAACAUGCCUAUAGGGAUAAACAAAAAUGAGUAUGUAUUCUUAAUUACUACCCAGAAAUCAACUAUUUAGAGAACAUGCCUAUAGGGUAUUUACUACUCGCCUCAAAAGCAUGCCUAUAGGACUCCAUGUUGACUGUUUGAAACUAUUUAUGCCGAUAUCUUCUAUAAUCGUGUUGCUUGCUUAGAAACCAUGUCUAUAGGAUUAAAUACAACGAGAGCAGCAUUACUUAACAACUUGGUUAACCGUCUAAGUUCAGUCAUCUAGAAACCAUACUUAUAGGUCUUGAACAAUUUUAAUGCAUUUCGACUCCAAAUCUGCCUAUAGCUACUUACUGCAUAAUCUGGAACCUUGUUAGCAUAAAACCCAUGAUUGUUUGCGUGCUUUUGUGCCUACGUGUGGAGGCCAACUUGAGCCCUUGACUGUUAACUGUGUGUAGUCCUACUUGUUCUCAAUGUGUGCCUAGUUUUAUCAUUUUGAGCAUUCGAAGUAAAGUCUAGAACCACCCAAGUAGCAUGUUUAAAGCCUCCUGGACCAUAGGCAUGGGACGGGUCAUGCACGCAUAGGAUGCGGUUUAGAAUUGAACUAGAGCGCUUUAGGUAAACAACUUUAAGAUACUAAAUGGGCAGCAGGAGAUGAUAGUCUGUGCCUAUUGAAUAUUAUGAGCAACCCCUAACUUAACGGAGUUGCGAAGUAUUAUUUAUAUUGCACAGGGUGAUCCUUUAGGCUAAAAAACUUAGGAUCCCCCUAUAUAUGUUUACCACUUGCACCCCUGUUUAUUUGAACUUAGAUCAAACUAGGUUGUACCUUAUAAUCCUCAAAAUAUUACACCAAUCACUUAUUAAUGUAUAGUCUACUUCCCCUAUAUGAGCAAUCUUUUUAUACGUGUUUCACGUUGUAGUUGGAUAUUUAGAUCCCAUAUCUUCCUUAAUCUACAUGAUCAUAUAGGACAAUUAUAAUCCAAUAAUUCCACAUAGCAUAAAAUUCGGUUGGAGGCCAUAGUUGUGGAUCUUGAAGAGUGCCUAACCCCUUCUCUUUGAGGUUAUUUGAACCCUUACUCGAUCUUUGGUGGCACGGACUAGUUCUAAUCAGAGUUACUUGCAAAUAGGUGCCUAACGCACCUUAAAUAGUUAGGUGGCGGUUCUUCUCUUUUAAUACCCAUUUAAAAGAGUUUUCACUCGUCGAAACCCGCUUUCGCGAGAAAACGGGGCACGAUAGCAUGGCGACUCUGCUGGGGAUAUAUUUAGGCUCUUACCAUAACGGAUUGUUGCUUUGUGGGAUUUCUAAAUGAUUAGGUUGGGUUAUUUGACUUCUCCCAUGUACAUCCCCUCCCUAUUUCCCUUAUUUGCUUAAAAUUGUUAUAUCAUCCCCUCUAUAUUUCCCUUAUUUGCUUAAAAUUACUAUAUCAUGUGUCUCCCUCCCUAUCUCCCCUAAUUGAUUCAUCUAAUUACGUUCAAGAACUUUUUCAUACGUUAUGCUAACUUCUCUCCUUUGUCUUUCAUUUUUCUUUUCUUUCUCUUACCUAUCUUUAUCGUAUUAUUUACUAUUCUUACGUGCUUUCAUCAUGCAAAAAUAUCUGGCAACAUGUUACUAUUUUUUGCAUAAAGCAUGCUUUCAAAAUCAUACUCCACUCAUUCUUAGUAUAACAUAGAAGCGCUUGACGUGUGUCCGCGCUUUCCUAAAAAUACCCUUUUAAAUCGGAAAGGCUUAUUAGCGGUAGACUAGUCGAUCAGUGGUACAGUCGACGGUCCCGUGGCUUUCCCUCUCAAGUCGUCAACUUGAGUGUAUCCGUCUAGACCCUUCUAGAAACUCCACUCUGAUUUGAAAUGUACAUACAUCAUGCUAAACCUAGUAUGGAUUGAAACAUUAUUGACGCAUUAAUCCGCUUAGAUAAACCUUGUCCAAAAUCCAAAGGGAUUUCCACUGUCCCAAAGGAAAACAUCAUAUUAUGUGCAUCGCUUGGAGAAAAUGUGCCAACAUGUUGACUGUUAUUGCGUAAAUAGUCGAAUCUGUAGGGGGGAAGGGCUAACAUUUAUUUGUUUGUAAAAAAUGAAGCACGAAAUCCUUAGGUUUGGUAUGGUCCAGAAUAUCCCACCUCUGCUAAUUGACUGGUGGAAUGACCUUGCACCAUGUGAUAGAAAUCACGUAAGGAGAGUGUUAGGUAACUUGCCGUCUUUGCUAAAUAUUCGACCAACAGGGAAUUAAUUGAGGCAGCCACCAUGUUCUAGGAUGAAAAGAUACCUGUCUUUCGACUUGGCAAUAUAGAAAUGACUCCUCUUCUAGAAGAUAUAGGGGGCUUCACAAGUUACCAUGGGAUAGUCCGGAUCUGUUAGUGCCAGAAAAGCGCACCCCACGUGGUUUUCUAAAAAUGCUAGGGUUUAAGAAAAAUGAUGAGUUGGUUUGCUUGAAGAUAUCCUACAUCCCCUUCGAGUUUUUCUAUGAGCGGUAUGGGCACAGCAAGUCAUAUCGCUUGCAUCACGAGGAGCUAUCCAUUACCUCUUUGGAUAGGUACACCAUCGGGUCUAUGUCUUCAUAGUAUGCUUCUUAGGUUUGUUGAUAUUUCCAAUGCAAUGAGGGAGAAUUCAUACUAGCUUAGCCAUAGUCACCAAGAUCGUGAUGGAGGGUAUCGAGGGGAAGAAAUACACCAUGAUCCUUAUGAUACUGGCUGAGAUGUACCGAGCCUUGGAUUGGUGCAAGCAUGGGUUUGGACAUUUUAAGGGUUGCAAUCUCCUACUACAGGUUUGGCUGCUAGAACAUUUUCAGAGGGGAAAUUACUGCCAGGAGCUCUUGCGUAAACUACUGAAUGACUACAUAGCCAGUCAUCAUCCAAUGAAGAUGAAAUUCGCUCCAGAUAGGUUUGCAAAGCCUGGGAAUGCUGUAUGCUGGGUGCGUUUCUUCAAUAAUCAUACAAACGAGCAAGUGCAUUGGAUGCUCGAGUGGUUACCUAGUAGAGAGCUCAUCAUCAGGUACAAAGGAACUACUCACUUGGUACUAUUUAGGUUGCAAGGCAUCUACCCUUACCAGGCAAGCUUGGAGGAAGCAAGUCAUACCUCGGGUUUCCAACAUGGUUCAGUAUAAAGCAAAUUUCAAAGGAGAUGUUAUCCCGUCCAAAUUCGAGGCCCAAAACAUGUGGAACCAAAAAGACAAUCAUGGAUGGGGAGACUAUUGAACCAGACAGGUAUCACGUCGGUCAUAUGUAUUACUACCUCUCAUGUUGGAAGACGACAUAACCGGGGAUGUCAAAUCGGGGGUCAAUCUGAAAUAUAGAAACAUAGAUGAGGUGGAUGAGGCUCAGGUAAAGUAUUAGAGGCUACGCAAAAGAGUGUUCAAAUCUGAAGCUAACCAUCUAGAAUAGCAUAAGGUGGAUAUGGAGGCGAUCAAAGAAUGGAAGGAGAUUGCAAACAAGUUGACAGAGAGGUUGGAGCACCUAGAGCAAGGACUGAUGGAGCUGGAGGGGAAGAUGAGAAAGAGGAUUUGGCAUUGUCAAGGUAUGGGCUAUGAUGAAGGAGGGAAGCUGGCGAUGGCUUACUUGCUGCUCGACAUGCGCGACCUGGGAAGUGUGAUUGAUGGAUCCAAAAGAGCAAAGCAUGGAGAAGGUCCUUCUGGGACCAAAUAUAUUAGGAGAUAAUGUUCUUUAUUACUUUCUAGUUAGAUUUCGUUAGCUUUUUUAUGUAAUAAGGCUUCGUGCCAUUAGUGACUUUACAUUAUUAUUUCGAUUUAGUAAAGAUUGAUUUGAUUUAUUUUCGCUUAAUGGAACGAGGCAAUGUUGGCAUGAAUUUUCUCCAAGUCUAUGUGUCGCUUAGGCCUACCUCGUUCAUAAUGCGAUCCCCAAAUUAGGACACAAAUUAUUGCAUUACCUUACGUGUCACUUGCUUAAAUAUUGCAAUCAGUCUUUCGUUUCGUCUUAUUGACUUGGUUGCCUUUUGUUUUUCUUUCUUUUGAUUAUUCCCAUUCCCAAAGGUUGGUUCGUGUAUUCUGGCAUCAUUAGCAUACCACACCAGAUCCAGAAGUCCUCCACCUCCUCCUCCACCUAGAGACCCCAAAGGAAAAAAGCAAAGGCAAAGAGAAGAUGAAUGAUUUAAGUGGUAAUCGAAAGGACAACGCUACCAUAGCAUAGAAUGUUGAAACUUCUAACAGAAGGAGUAUGCCAGGACAAAAUGAGUUGGCCCUACGGUUGGAACAGAAAAUCUUGGAGCUACAACGUGAGCUUGAGCAGGUCUGAAAUCUCGCAAAUCUCUCCCUUACUCUGAAUGUCCCCUACAUCAACCAUCAGAACACCACCACCCAUAAUCAAACACCACCCCAAAACAUACAAUCCCAAAAUCCACCACCCAUAGCUCCACAAAAUCUUCCCGCAACGCACCAAUAUCACAACCCCACACCCCCUCAAAACUUUAACCCUCCACUAGUACAAACCCCUCAACAACAACACCAUCACCCGACCCAGUAUCCGCAAAUCACUAUUUAUACUCCCAAUCCAUACUCCCAAUCCACCUCAAACCUCAAUCAAUGAUCACCCAUAUAUUCAAGUCCCAGGAACACAUCAAGGCAACUCGAUAUACAUGGAGACCUUACCACAUACCCCACAGCAAACCCUAUACAUACCCGAACCAACCGAGAAGGACCUGCUCAUCCGGAAUAUAGAUGAAGAGCUAAAGAAGCUGACAGGAAGAGUCCACAGUGUUGACGGUGGAAAGGUGUUGAAGGUUUGAAUUAUGAAGACUUGUGUAUCGAGCCAGACGUGGAAUUGCUGGAGGUUUACAAACCUCCUAAGUUUGAAAUGUUCGAUGGCACUGGUGAUCCUAAGAUGCACUUAAGAACUUACUGUGACAAGCUUGUAGGAGUAGGCAAGAACGAGCAAAUCCGCAUGAAGUUGUUCAUGCGAAGUCUUACAGGGGAUACCUUAUCCUGGUACAUUAGUCAGAAUUUGAAAAUAUGGGCGAACUGGGUAAGCAUGGCAUCCGAUUUUAUGGAUAGAUUCAGGUUCAACAGAGAAAAUGCGCCAGACAUUUUCUAUAUUUAGAACCUCAUGAAGAAGCCAAUAGAAACCUUUCAUGAGUAUGCUACUCGUUGGAGAUCAGAGACCACCAAGGUGAGGCUGCAACUAGACGACGAUCAAAUAAACAAGUUCUUUGUCAGAGCUCAAGAUCCUCAGUAUUAUGAAAGAUUGAUGGUUCUAGAGAAUCACAAGUUCUCCGACAUCAUCAAGUUGGGAAAAGGAUAGAAAAAGGAAUCAAGAUCAGUAUGCUGACUAAUUUCUAGGCACUGCAAGCCAUCAAUAAAGCCUUACAGUCCGGAGGUAUCUCGAAAAACAAGGAAGUGGGUGCCAUGAUGGUGGCCCAAGGACCUAAGUCUCCCCUUACCUAUCAGACACCCCCACCAACAUACCAACCCUUACCUCCAAAAUACCAUUAUCCCGCCACCACCUACCAUACCUAUAAUACCCAACCUGCAUAUUACCAUUCACCUCCUCCCGCCCGCCAAAACUACCCAGGGCCAUACCCAAACUACGACCACAGAACUCCUAGACAAUACACCCCUAUCGCCGAACCCAUAGCCCAACUAUAUGAGAGACUGAAGGUUGCUGGUUAUGUCACUCCCAUUCCUGCUGCUGCUAUUAAAAAUCCUUCCCAGUAGGUUAACCCCAACAAGACUUGUGCCUACCACUUAGGCAUGAAGGGACAUACAAUCAAGGAAUUCCAUAUGUUGAAAGAUAAGAUCCAUACACUGAUUGACACCAAAGUUAUAAAGGCAAAGGAGUCUGCACCGAAUGUCCGUAAUAACCCUAUUCCUGAUCAUAGGGGUGAGGGAGUGAAUAUGAUAGAAACUGAUAAAGAAUGGGAUCAGGAAGUAUCCAUCGGGCUUAUCCAAGAAGGGGACGCUCCCAAAUCAUCUCUUGUCACCUUCUCGCCGAUUGUGGUGAAAACCAAGGCACCAUUCGAGGUUGAGGUAGCUACGCCCUUCACUGUAUUCGUAGCUCCAAUGCCAUCCUACAAAUCAGAUGUUGUUCCAUGGGAUUAUGUGGCAGAGGCAAGAAGAAAAGGAAAAUCCAAGAUGGAAGAGAACUGACAGGGUUUACACACCGGAAUAUCUUAGAGGAACGAGUAAAGAGAUCGCACCAAAACCACCUGUUGUGGAGACAAGUGUUGAUGAUCUUUGGAGGAAGGUACAGGUGAGGGAGUACUAUGUUGUUGAUCAUCUAAACAAGACUCCCGCCCAAAUAUACAUUUUGUCACUAUUACAAAACUCAGAUACGCACAAGAAUGCCUUGAUAAAGGUGUUAAGUGAAGAUUAUGUACCUACCAGUAUCACUAGUGGAGAGAUGGUGAACAUGGUGGGGCAAAUACUGGAGAGUCACAAGAUUACUUUCCACGAAGAUGAGUUGCCGCCGGAAGGAUUAAGUCAUAACAAAGCAUUACAUAUCACUGUGCAAUAUAAAGACAAGUUCAUUGCUAGGGUUCUGAUAGACGGGGGUUCAAGUCUGAACAUAUGCCCGCUGACUACUUUGAAAAGAUUAGGUAUAGGUCUGCAUGAGAUACGUAUGGGAAGUAUGAACGUGAAAACAUUUAACGGGUCUCAGAGAGCCAAUAUUGGAGAGAUCAAUCUGGAUCUAAAUAUGGGCCCAACCUGGUUCGACGUUGAAUUCCAAGUGCUAGAUAUAUCCGCUACAUAUAACCUGUUACUGGGACGACCAUGGAUACACACGACUGAGGCAGUUGCUUCUACUCUGCACCGAGAUGUGAAGUUUGAGUAGAACCAUCAGGAGGUGAUUAUUCACGGAGAUGUAAGUAACCCUAUCUACACCGACCAGACAGUGGCAGCUAUCGAGAAUAGAAGGAAAUUGGGAGGAGAGACAUCCCACAGCAUUGAGCCGAUAAACGCAAUCGAGAAAGGGCGAUGGUGGAGCAAUAAGAUAGAGAGCAUACUGAUGUGGUUAGGGUAUGAACCAAGCAAGGGUCUCGGUCCUAAGCUUCAAGGGAUCACAGAACCAAUACGGACACAAUAUCAUGGCACAACCUUUGGUCUCGGAUAUGAAUACACCGUAAAAGAAUAUAAUGAUUGGAUACCACCAUGGCGUGACUUCUACUAUCCAUUGGAACAAACCAUAGCACCACUGCACCAGACAUUCCACCAGACUGAUGUAAUUUGGGGAUCCGAGGAAGAUGAGAUUUUGGCAGGCAUGAGGAAUCUGUUUCUAGAUGAGGAAAAUAUGGACUGCAGUGCGAUCUUGGAGGAAGAGGAGGAAGACCUUACCAUUCAGACGAUGGGAGAUGAAGCUGCUCUCAAGAACUGGAUUGCUGCACCAUCCCGAGCUCGCCGAGUACUGGCAUAAUUAUUAUAUAUCCUGAUGAACCUACGACUGUGACAUGUAAUGAGACAACGCAAUAUAAGGAAAGUGAUUCGGAAGACUGGGAAGAUGAUAUAAUACCUGAGGAAAUUGUCAAUGAAGUAGAGAAUUUUGAGAACAAAACCAAAAGUCCAAAUCUGGAAGAAACUGAGGCAGGUUAANNNNNNNNNNNNNNNNNNNNNNNNNNNNNNNNNNNNNNNNNNNNNNNNNNNNNNNNNNNNNNNNNNNNNNNNNNNNNNNNNNNNNNNNNNNNNNNNNNNNNNNNNNNNNNNNNNNNNNNNNNNNNNNNNNNNNNNNNNNNNNNNNNNNNNNNNNNNNNNNNNNNNNNNNNNNNNNNNNNNNNNNNNNNNNNNNNNNNNNNNNNNNNNNNNNNNNNNNNNNNNNNNNNNNNNNNNNNNNNCUGCACCCAUCCACCGAGCUCGCCCCGAGUACUGGCAUAAUUAUUAUAUAUCCUGAUGAACCUACGACUGUGACAUGNAAUGAGACAACGCAAUAUAAGAAGUGAUUCGGAAGACUGGGAAGAUGAUAUAAUACCUGAGGAAAUUGUCAAUGAAGUAGAGAAUUUUGAGAACAAACCAAAGUCCAAUCUGGAAGAAACUGAGGCAGUUAACUUAGGGGAUUCUGAAACAGUCAAAGAAACUCGCAUUAGCAUUCAUCUAUCACCAUCAGAGAAGGAAGAGUACAUCAAGCUUCUAAGGGAAUAUGAGGAUAUUUUUGCAUAGUCUUAUGACGACAUGACCGGGUUAGGCACAUCCAUAGUGGCUCAUAAACUACCUACCUACCCUAUGUGUCCGCCGGUAAAGCAGAAACUCUGGAAAAUCAAGUCGGAUAUGAGUUUAAAGAUAAAAGAAGAGGUUACCAAAUAAAUCAAAGCCAAGGUCCAUCAGGUGGUUGAGUACCCAACCUGGCUAGCCAAUAUUGUACCGGUUCCAAAGAAGGAUGGGAAAGUCAGGGUGUGUGUUGACUAUCGAGAUCUGAACAGAGAAAGACUUAAAGAUGAUUUCACGUUGCCCAACAUACACAUAGUGAUCGACAACUGGGCCAAGCAUGAACUCCAAUCCUUUGUGGAUUGCUUCGCAUGAUAUCACCAGAUUUGGAUGGACGAAGAGGAUGCCAAAAAACUAGCCUUCAUCACGCCAUGGGGAAUAUACUGCUACAAAUGAUGUCGUUUGGUUUAAAGAACACCGCAGAGACCUACAUGGGGGACAUGACUACUCUUUUCCGUGAUAUGAUACACAAAGAAAUAGAGGUAUACAUGGAUGGCAUCAUCAUCAAGUCUAAGAGGAGUUCGGAACACAUAACAGACAUAAGAAAGUUUUUUGACCGAUUACGAAAGUACAGUCUGAAGUUGAAUCCUGCAAAAUGUGCUUUCGAAGUCACUGCUAGAAAGUUGUUGGGUUUCAUCGUUACUCAUCAUGGCAUUGAGUUAGACCCAUCAAAGAUCAAAGCUAUUCAGGACCUGCCACCGCCAAAGAGCAAGAAGGAUGUGAUGAGUUAUCCGGACUGCCUCAAUUAUAUCAACUGUUUUAUAGCACAGUUAACGGUAAUAUGUGAACCAAUCUUCAAGAUGUUGAGGAAAUAUGCUGCAACGAGUUGAACUGAAGAGUGAAAAAAGGCUUUCGAUAAAAUCAAGGAGUCCUUGUCCAAGCCGCUCCUGUUGGUCCCGCCAGAGCCUAGGAGACCUCUACUACUAUACCUAUCCAUGUUGGAUGGAGCCUUUGGUUGCAUCCUGGGGCAACAUGAUGAAACCGGAAGAAAGGAGCAGGUGAUAUACUAUCUGAGUAAGAAGUUCACACCUUACAAAGCCCGGUACUCUUUGUUGGAAUGUACAUGUUAUGCCCUGACAUGGAUAGCCAGAAAUUGAGGCACUACUUCUGCGCAUACACCAUAUAUCUCAUACCAAGGAUAGAGCCGCUGAAAUACAUCUUUCAAAAACACAUGCCUACGGGUAAGCUAGCAAAGUGGCAGAUAUUACUAAGUGAGUUCGACAUUAUCUAUGUGACUUAUAAGCCGGUCAAGGGGCAAGCAUUGGCCGAUCACCUAGUAGAGAACACCGUAGAUGGAGAAUACAAACCAUUGAAGACGUAUUUUCCCGACGAGGAAGUGUCGUUUAUAGGAGAAGACAUUGUUGAAUCAUGUGAUGGUUGGAGGAUGUUUUUUGAUAGAGCUACAAACUUCAAAGGAGUAGGCAUCGGAGCUGUCUUGUAUCAAAAGUCAACAUUACCCGAUAUCCGCCAAACUCAGAUUCCUGUGCACUAACAAUAUGGCAGAAUAUAAGGCUUGCAUCUUAGGACUCAGGUUGGCCGUCGACAUGAAUAUUCAGGAGUUGCUGGUAAUCGGAGAUUCAGAUCUGCUAAUACAUCAAGUACUCGGAGAAUGAGCCACCAAGAAUACUAAGAUAUUGCUAUGCCUACACUGUAUGAAAGAUUUGACCAAGAAAUUCACAAAGAUAGAAUCCAAACAUGUCCCGAGAGUUCAGAAUGAGUUCGCCGAUACGCUGGCUACCUUGUCUUCUAAGAUACAACAUCCAGACAAGAAUUUUAUUGAUCCUAUCCCGAUAGAGAUAUGUAAGCAGCCAGCUUAUUGUGCUCAUGUUGAAGAAUAGUUCGAUGGAAAUCCAUGGUUUCCCGACAUCAAGGAGUAUUUGGAGCGAAAAACGCUACACACACCCAGAAGCGCACGCUUCGAAGAUUGGCCAACCAUUUCUUUCUGAGAGGAGGAAUUCUGUAUAGUAGGACUCUUGACUUGGGACUAUUGUGAUGUGUCGAUGCCAAGGAGGCAUCUAGGUUUCUUGAUGAGAUACACACCAGAACUUGCGGACCUCACAUGAAUGGGUUUGUUCUAUCUAGGAAGAUAUUAAGGGCAGGGUAUUUCUAGAUGACUAUGGAGACAUACUGCAUCAAAUAUUUGCAAAACUGCCACCAAUGCCAGGUACAUGCGGAUAUGAUACGGGUGCCACCCAACAAACGCAAUGCAACGAGUUCACCCUGGCCUUUCUCUGCUUGGGGCAUGGAUUUCAUCAGACCAAUUGAACUCGCUGCUUCCAACGGACAUAGAUUCAUCUUGGUAGCCAUAGAUUACUUCACAAAAUGGGUCAAAGCCGCUUCAUAUAAAGCUGUGACCAAGAAGGUCGUAGCGAACUUCGUCCAGAAUUGUAUUGUUUGCCAAUUCGGAGUACUUGAGUCAAUCAUUACCGACAAUGCUUCCAAUUCCAAUAGUGAUCUGAUGAAAUCCAUGUGUGAAACAUUCAAAAUUAAGCACCGGAACUCUACAGCAUAUAGGCCACAAAUGAAUGGAGUCGUGGAGGCUGCCAAUAAGAAUAUCAAGAAAAUAUUAAGGAAUAUGGUGGAUAACUACAAGCAAUGGCACGAGAAGCUACCGUUUGCCCUGCACAAGUACCGCACCAUGUCUGCACUUCAAGCAGGGCAACCCCCUAUUUACCGGUCUAUGGUGCCGAAGUUGUCAUACUCGCCGAGGUAGAGAUUCCUUCCCUAAGAAUCAUACAAGAGGCUGAGCUCAGUGAUGCAGAAUGGAUACAUAGCCGGUAUGAGAAAUUGACUCUCAUUGACAAUAAACGGAUGAACGCGGUGUGUCACGGUCAACUCUACUAAAAUAGAAUGGCAAGGGCUUUCAAUAAGAAGGUUAGAUCAAGGCAAUUCACGCCAGGGUAAUUGGUGUUGAAGUGGAUCUUCCCGUAUCAGGACGAAGCAAAGGGAAAAUUCUCACCUAACUGCAAGGACUUUACAUGGUUCACCGAGUACUAAUAGGAAGAGCACUCAUACUUGCAGAGAUAGAUAGAGAAAUAUGGACAAAACCUAUCAAUUCAGAUGCCUUCAAGAGAUAUUAUGUUUGAGAUUAUAUUUGCACUUUCUUUUGAUGUAACAUGAACUAUGCUUGACCGGAUUCCCAGUUAAUGAGGGAUACAUAGGAAGCAUUGUGGGUUCGGUCACAUCAUAAUAAAAUCUUCAUUCCCCUCUACGGUCAAGAACCGGGACAAGAUUUCGAGUUUUCGUCAAUCUCAUUAUGUCAAAAAUUGCCAAGAAGUGUAUCGUCGGAAGCAUAUAUUUAAACUGGGGAAGAAUUUUGAGAGGGUCCUCAAAAUUCCGAGUUAAGAAGGUCGCAAUGUCUCAAAGCUUGUCACGGUCUAUGAUUCGACCAAAUUACUUACUUUUUGCAUUAUCUUUUGAAACAAUUGCAUAUUUAUAAAUGAUUUACCAUGAAUGUAUAUUUUCAAAGUGGGGACGUGAGCUGUAUGUGGACCACGACAGCGGAGUGUAUUAGAGUAGCUGUGAGAAAAGUGUUAGGGGUCUUGAAGGGUUUCUCUGGCGGCCACAAAGGUGACUGUUGGUAGAGUGAAGAGGUACAAGAGAAAGUGAAAGCCAAGCAAGCGGCGUACUUGACGCUUAUAGAGAGCAUGGAUGAGGAGGCGAAGAGGAUGAACAUGGAGGGGUAUAGGAGGGGUAUAGGAGGUCUAAGAAGGAGGCGAAGUUAGCGGUUACUGCAGCUAAGACUGCGGCAUUUGGGCGUUUGUAUGAAGAGCUUGGGGCUAAAGGCAGGGACAAGAAGUUAUACAGGCUAGCCAAAGUAAGAGAGAGGAAGGGCCAUGAUCUGGAUCAAGUUAAGUGUAUCAAAGAUGAGGAAGGUAGAGUUUUGAUGGAAGAGACUCAGAUUAGAAGAAGAUGGCAGACAUAUUUCCAUAAACUCCUGAAUGAAGAGGGGGAUAAGGACAUUGUGUUGGGUGACAUGGAUCACUCCGAGAUGCGCGGGGAUUUCAGGUAUUGUAGGAGAAUAAGAGUAGGGGAGGUCGAGAGGGCUAUGCGUAAGUGUAAGGCCCCGUGAAAAGUUUCCUAAAAACCAGGGUUCUAUGAUGCCGGGGCAAGCGUAAGGGUUCUAUGAUGUGUUGUGUUCGGAUUUCUUGGAUUGAACAGUGCGUUGGAGAGUUGAAGGAAAAUGUUGUGUAGAAAUAUGCAUUUCUGCGGCCCAUUAUGGGGCCGCAAAAUCACUCUGCGGACUGCAGAAUGGUCGCAAAGUGAGGCAGUUUUCUAGGUCAUUUUGAUGUCAUUUUCGCGGUCCAUUAUGCGACCGCAUAACCAUUUCGCGGGCCGCACUCUUGUCACAGAAUCAAUCUUGGAUUUUUACGGAGGGAGGUUCUGCGGGGCAUUAUGCGACCACAGAACAGGUCUACGGGCCAUAUAGUGACCGCAGAACAGGUCUGUGGGUCGUAUAGUGACCGCAGACCCAGUCAGUUCCUUUCCAGUUUUGGCACCCAAUUUGUGCGGCCGAUAUGCGGACCACAUAUCCAUUCUGCGGUCGCAUAUGCGACCGCAUAUCCUGUUCCGGGGCUUCAUUUUUGGGGUUUAUUAAACUCCGACCCUAUUUCGUUAAAACAUAUGCCAUAGCCAUAUUUUGAGCACAUUUCUGAUAUUUUUAGAGUGAGAGAGAGUUCUUAGAGUGGGAGAGUAACUUUCAGCCUAUUAUCCAUCAAUUCUUGCUGAAUCAUUGAGGAUUAACAAAGGAAGUCUUCAUCCUAAAGGUAAGAAUCUAUGUCCUAGCUCUCAAUUUCAAAAAUUUACAAAAAUGGGGUAACUAGAAAGACAAUUCUUGGGUGUGGGGAGUUGUUAUCAAAGAAUGUGGAAAGGUUGUGAGCUAAUAAUGGCAGAGAAUGGGUUGGGGAAUGAUGGAAUCUUUCACAAAAGGACCUUGAAGCCUUAAUGCACACAUAGUGUUUGAUAAAAUACUCAAAUGAGCUAGAACCAUGAUCAUCCUCCUAAUUUUGAUUCAAUUUGUUACAAUUUCAAAAUAGAUUGAAGUUGCUAAGAUUUCCGAAAUAUUUUAGAGUGUAAGGAAUCUCAAUUGAGGUACGUUGGCUAAACUUUCUAUCUUAGAAUCGAAUUCCAUAAUGUUCCUGUGAGUUUCAAGGUGUGGGUUGCGCAUCAAAAUGUUAUGGCUUUGAAUCAUAUUUCAAAUGAAAGCUAGUAUGCCAAAUUGUAUGAGAAAAUUUCAAUAUUCUUAAGACUCUUAAUUGCUCAUAUGUGUACCUAAAGUCUUGAUUGGAAAUGUCUUAAUGUCGAUAAUCUAUAAAGAUGGUUGGAAAUGAAAUAAUUGAAUUGGGGGUAUAGUGUGUGGCCAACGUGCCAAGAAUUUAAGUUAUGAUUGUGGCUAGUAGUGCACGUGGUUUGAGAGGAUGCGAUAAAGAAUAUGAAAUGAGCCUCGACUCAAUUGUUUAAAAAUAAUUUCGAAAAUAGAUUUGCCUAAAAGCUUUUGUACUCAAUUCAUGCCCAUAAGUGGUUGCUUUAACUAAUUCUUUUCUUUACAAAUAUAUCCAGUGUAAUUCGAGUUCUUACAUACUCAGGUGUUGAAGUUGUAAAUUGUCAUUUCUGGGAAAGAGUAUUGCAAGAAUAAAUGGUGUAUUGAUUGCUUAUGAUUUUGAUAUGUGCUUGUAUUGCUGGUCGGUAUGCCCCAUUAUUUGGGAAGAAACCUUUUGUAUUUAAAGCUUCCAUUACUAAUAAAUUUGAGGUAUAUGAUUGCUGAAAUAUUCUAUAUUUUGAUAUUUGAUGGUGACCCUUGAAAUUGAAAGAGGUGAAAGUGUGGGAUAUAAAAUAUGGCCACCGUGCCAGGAAUAAAGAAUCUUGUGAAUGGCCAAAUGAGCCAAGGAAAUAUUGUUGUUGUGAGUGAUUAGAAAUACUAAUAAGAAUUUAUACAAUGUGAAAGAUGUUGAGGUGAGUACAAUUGUAUUUAUGUUGCCUUUGUGUGCAAAUCAAAUCAAAAAUGUUUUGGGAGCAUCAUUAGCAAAACCGAGGAAGGGUGGGUCAUAAGGCCCACACCUGAAACUACAUGUGCCGGUGUAGAGGUGGAUUGUGAUAUUAUUCCCCUUAAUCUAGAUGAAACUGGUAACAAUUGUGGAUUGGAAAAGUCAACCCACAUGGCAUAUGUGGGAAGGCGGCCUAGCUGAUCGGGUGGAGAUCGGACGCCAUGUUUCGCAUAUGAUUGUACUAAUCUUGGUAACAACUUUCUUUCUCAUCACUCGUCAAACCACAUUGUUCGUGGGGAGAUGACCUAGCCGAUCGGGGCAUGAUCGGACUCCAUGCUAACAAAGACGGUGGUAUAUCGGUGCUAACGAUCUCCCAACCAAAAUUGUAUAUGAAGUUCAUAUUUUGAAAAUUAUUAUGUUUUAACUGGACAUUUGGAUAUUGUUGAUUGUGACUUGUUGUUUCUAUGUGUUGUCUUUUCUUAAUACAAGGUAAUGGGGAGAUUGAUGAAGAUGUCACGCAUUGUACCGGAGCAGGAUGGAUGAAGUGGAGGCUCACUUUUGGUAUCUUGUGUGAUAAGAAUGUGCCUAUGAUACUUAAAGGUAAGUUCUACAAGGUUGUAGUUAGACCAACUAUGUUGUAUGGAGCAGAGUGUUGGCCAGUCAAGAACUCACAUACCCAAAAGCUAAAAAUAGCUGAGAUGAGGAUGUUGAGGUGGAUGUGUGGGCAUACCCUAUUGGAUAAGAUUAGGAAUGAAGUUAUUCGGGAAAAGGUGGGAGUGGCCCCUGUGGAGGAUAAGAUGCGGGAGGCAAGGUUGAGAUGGUUCGGGCAGGUUAAGAGGAGAAGUAUAGAAGCCCCAAUUAGAAGGUGAGAGCGGUUAGCCUCAGUGGGGUAGCAGGAGGGGUAGAGGUAGGCUAAGAAGUCUUGGGGAGAGGUUAUUAAGCGGGACAUGGUGCAUCUGGAGCUGACUAAGGACAUGGCCCUAGAUAGGAGGGUGUGAAGGUCAAAGAUUAGGGUAAAGGUUCAUAGGUAGUCGAGCGUUUCACUUUUUCUUGCUCAGUUCGCUAGCAUUAGAGUUAGUAUGAUAUCUUUUAUCCAUAGAUGGCUAUUACUACCUAGAGUUUGAUUGCAUUAUUGGAUUCAAACUUAUUUCAUCUUGUUGUUAUUCCUACUUGUUGCAAUUACCUUUUCUUUUUCAGUUGUUCUCUAGCCGAGGGUCUAUCGGAAACAGCCUCUCUGCCCUUCCAGGAGUAGGAGUAAGGCUAUGUACAUCUUACCCUCCCCAGACCCCACUUGUAGGAAACUACUAGGUUUGUUGUUGUAUUUCUAUAGUAACCAGAUGUUACCCAGGGUGACUCGAACAAGGUGUUAAGACAGGAGCAAAGGCGAAACAAGAAACCGAGAGCAAGAACCGACCUCCUCCCCCCCCCCCCCCCCAACUCACGAUAUUUCUUUGGAUGCAGGCAUAAUGGACAUAACAAGCACGUCCACAAAAAACAUAUACCACAAGACCACCGAUAGAAGUCGACGAGCACAGACGCGUCAAGCUAAGAACCACUUUGCUUCUUCAUAUUUGAUCACCGCUUUUAUGUGCAUAGGGCUAAAGCACUGCCCUCAUCAUUGCAUAGGGCUAAGCUCUGCCCUUAUUUCUUUGUAUGAAACUAAGCAUUUUCUCCAUUACAUUGCAUGAGGCUAAUAACUGCCUCCAUUAUUACAUAAGGCUAAAUGCUGCCUUGCCUUUCUUUGCAUGAGACUAAGAAUUGUCUCCAUUAUAUUGCAUGAGGCUAAGCACUACCUCCAUCAUUGCAUAAGGCUAAACACUACUUUUCUCUGCAUGAGGCUAAGCACUGCCUCCAUCACUCUUACUUCUGAAAUGCAAAUAUGUUUCCUGUAAACCCUGCCAUCGUGUCCCUAUGGGAGUUGUUGUUAGUAGGCUUCAGAAUUGUUUUAAUAAUUGCCAUGUGUGGUUCAUUAGUUUAUCUAGUUAAGUUGUUAAUCUACAAACUGCUAUGUAAGUGGGACUUAUAUCUCGGCUUGAUAUGGGUCCAUGUGUGGGCCUGAGCUGUGCAUUCAAUGUACUCUAAUGUUUGAGCUGAGUUUGGGUCUGGGUCUGGGUUUGCUGCUUGUGUAAAGAAUGAGCCUAUUGAAGGCCCAAGCAGUACUGGGUUAUCUCCUCUUGGGCCUGUUCUAUUUGUUGGGGCCAUAAUCAUUUCAAUUUUAUAAUAUUUGAGCUUAUUUUUCCUUUAUUGGGACUAUAAUAAUGUGUAAACAAACAGUUGGGGAAAUAGUGAAAGUGGGGGGUCUGGAUACUUUAAAUUUCGUAUAAAAAGGUAGAAAACAUGCCUAUAAGAUCUAAGUGCUUCACUUCUAUACACUGUGAGAAAGCAUGCCUAUAGGAUCUAAGUGCUUUACUUGCUCAACAUGCUCUAUUUCUAUGCACUAUUAGAUAAAUGCCCAUAGGACCAAACAUCAUUGGUUAUUUUCUCAGCAUGUUCUACUGCUAUGUGUUGUUAGAUAGCAUGCCUAUAGGAUCUCGUCGAGUAGUCAAGAUUUGCUAUUUCUUCCAGUCACGUGACUCAUCUAGAUACCAUGUUCAUAGGACCUUAAAUUGAUUAAUUAAACGGUCGUUGUUUCUAUUCUGCACGCCUAGAAAACAUGCCUAUAGGGAUAAACAAAAAUGAGUACGUAUUCUUAAUUACUGCCCAGAUAUCAACUAUUUAGAGAACAUGCCUAUAGGGUAUUUACUACUCGCCUCGAAAGCAUGCCUAUAGGACUCCAUGUUGACUAUUUGAAACUAUUUACACUGAUAUCAUCUGUAAUCAUGUUGCCCGCUUAGAAACCAUGCUUAUAGGAUUAAAUAUAACGAGAGUCAGCAUUACUUAACAACUUGGUUAACCGUCUAACUUCAGUCAUCUAGAAAUCAUUCCUAUAGGUCUUGAACAAUUUUAAUGUAUUUCGACUCCAAAUCUACCUAUCACUGCUUACUGCAUAAUAUGGAACCUUGUUAGCAUAAAACCCAUGACUGUGUGCGUUCUUUUGUGCCUACGUGUGGAGGCCAACUUGAGCCCUUGACUGUUAACUGUGUGCAGUCCUACUUGUUUUGAAUGUGCAUCCAGUUUUAUCAUUUUGAGCAUCACAAGUAAAGUAUAGAACCACCCAAGUAGCAGGUCCAAAGCCUCCUGGACCGUAGGCAUGGGACGGGUAAUGCACACAUAGGACGCGGUUUAGAAUUGAAUUAGAACGCUUUAGGUAAAUAACUUUAAGAUAGUAAUUGGGUAGCAGGAGAUGAUAGUCUGUGCCCACUGAAUAAUAUGAGCAACCCCUACCUUAAGGGAGUUACGAAGUAUUAUUUAUGUGGUAGGGGUGAUCCUUUAGGCUAAAAAACUUAAGCAACCCUUAUAUAUGUCUACCACUUGUACCCCAGUUUAUUUGAACUUAGAUCAAACUAGGUUGUACCUUAUAAUCCUUAAAAGAUUACACCAAUCACUUAUUAAUGUAUAGUCUACUUGACUCAUAUGCGCAAUCUUCUUUAUAUUUGUUUCACAUUGUAGUUGGAUAUUUAGAUCUCCUAUCUUCCUUAAUCUACAUGAUCAUAUAGGAAAAUUAUAAUUCAAUAAUCCCACAUAGCGUAAAAUUCAGCCGGAAACCACAGUUGUGGAUCUGGAAGAGUGCCUAACCCUUCACUUCGAGGUAAUUUGAUCCCUUACUUGAUUUUUUGGUGGCACAGACUAGUUCUAAUCAAAGUUACGUGAAAAUAGAUUUCCUAACGCACCUUAAAUCGCUAGGUGACGACUCUUCUCUUUUAACACCCAUUUAAAAGAGUUUUCACACGUCGAAACCCGCUUUCGCAAGAAAACAGGGCGCGACAGGUAGAGUUAUGCUUUCUCUUGCGUUUAUAUCAUCGUGUUGUGCUUAUUUGUUGGUAGUUUUGCGAUUACUUGAACUCGCACGUAUCUUCGCAAGUGGGGCUAGUGAUUCGAUGAAAGCUUCACUAUUCACUACUAGAAAAUGUCAAAUUUCUUACCACCAAAACAGUCGAAAAUCGGGUUAAAAUCUAUUAUUUUCGAUGGAUUUCCAACCAAUUUUAAGUGAUCGGAAAAUAGGUGGUUGUAAAAUAUCUUCGACCGAAUCGGUUUGAAAUUUCCGACCAUUUUGAUUGCAAAUAGGAAAAUUAUAGUUGACCAAAUAAUUCAAAAGUUUUGACUGCUUUGGUCGGUAAUUUUGCGACUGAUUCAGUAAGAAAUUAAAAAAUUAAAAAUUAAAUUAAUAAUUUUUCGACCAAUUUGGUUGGCUUAUUUAAUAAUUAAUUAAAAUUAUAUUCAAUAUUUUCAACCGAAUCGGUCGAAAUAUUAAAUAAUUUAAUAAUGAUUAAAAUUUCCAACCACUUCAGUCGAAAAUGUGGCAAUUUUCAGUUACAGAUUUCGACUACAAUGGUCGGAAAUCAUACGCAAAAUUUGAUAAAUUCAACAGAAUUCUGCUGUAAUUUAAGCUACACUACCUGCUAAAUCAAACAACCAAUAUCAUUCAACCUAAUAUCAUAAUUGUUCAAGCAACUGAGCCCAAAAUAUCAAAUAUCAAACUAGUUUAAAUAUUAUAAAACCUUUGAACAAGUGUAAAUUCUAUUAAACUACAUUAAAAUCUAAAAGUUUCAACCAAAAUGACAUUCAAGUCUAAAACACAACAACAACAACAACAACAACAACAACAACAACAACAACAACAACCACCUAGUAAAAGUUUACAAGUGGGGUCUGGGGAGGGUAGAAUGUACGCAGACCUUACCCCAAUCCCGGAGGGAUAGAAAGGCUAUUCAAGUCUAAAACACAUUAAGCGAAUAACAUUCUCAUGCAACUAAGUCUAAAACGAACCAAGUCUAAAAACUAAGUCGAAACCAACUCAAGUCUAAAUAUCAUAUUACACAUUCCAAAUACUACUCCUCAUAAGUUCCAGUCUCCUCAUUGCUAGAUUCCUCCAUCGUACGUUGAUUGCAAUGCUUUUUCAUGAAUGUCUGCAUCAUACUUAUUGUUUCUUGAGCAGUGUCCAUUGCUGCGUCAUUUCAUUAAUUUGUUUCCGCAUAUUCUCAAUUUCUUCAAGUAAAGCAGAAGAACCACUAAAUAAUGCGGCUAGACGACUGGAGGAUGGUCGUACUCCAUUGACUCUACCUUUAUUUAUUUUCAUGAGAAAUAAAAAUAAUAAUAAAUAUUAUAUAAAACUAAUAUUACUGCAAAUAUUUAAUAUUAAAAUGAAUAUUACUAAUAUUAAAACGAAUAUUACUAUAAAAUUCUAUGCCUUUAUUUACUCUACCGGCUGCCUGUGUCCAUAUUGAAGUCAUAUCCUCGGGCGACGGUUAAAAAUUAGGCUGAGUUUAUUAUCAUUCCUCCAAUCUUCUUUUGUUGCCGUUUGCCUCGACAAUAUUAUGAAAUAUUCUUAUAGGUGUGGGUCGUUUGCUUCGGCAGUAAAAUGAGAUACACUUAUGGAUCGGGUCGUACGACCUUGACAGUAUCAUGUAGUACUAUUCUUAUGGGAUCGGACCGUUCGCCUCGGCAGAAUUGUGCGUAUAAUUCGUUAGGGAGUCAGUGCAUAUAUAAAUUUCCUAACUUAAGCUUUGACAUUCGUACCAGAUAUUGAUCACAUAUAUUCCAUUUGAGGCAGUAAUUGGUAUUUGAUCAUUUCGUAUUUAUUCUUCUGUUGAGAAACACAUUAUUCAUAUUUAUUUGUUUUAUUGCUACUUGGUAUGCUUCAUACCUGUCUACUUUUAUGUACAUUAUUAUUUGGACCACCAGUAAGUGUCGACAUCGACCUCUCGCUACUACUUCUUCGAGGUUAGACUAUAUACUUACUGGGUACGCAUUAAUUUACGUACUCAUACAACACUUCUGCACUAAUGGUACAGGUACUGAGACAUGUACAUCUGUUGGGCUCUAAGGCACAUAGACGUACCAGCUGGGAGACAUGGUGGUGAGUUGUUUUCUAUGCUUCGACCUGCAGCACCCGGAGUCUCCUUACCCUAUAUUUAUUGUAUUCUGGCUACUUUCAUUCCAGGCGGUAAUUGCAGUAGUUUUGUAUAUUCCAUUAGAUGCUCACACAAUUGUGACAUUGAGUUUUUGGGAUUUUUAGCAUAUGUUCAUGGUUGUAUUUGCUAUUACAUCAUUCAACUUUAUGUUUUGUUCAUACUUCAUUACUUGGUAAAGAUGAUAGUAUUUUAUCAUAGUUCCUAAAUCUACUUCCGCUUAAUUAUUUUCCUUAUUUAAUUUUAAAAGUGUUAUGAGCGAUCGAUUGUGGUGAUGAUUUAUCAUUGGCUUGCCUAACAGCAGUGUUGGGUGACAUCAUGACCUAUGGUGAGAAUUGGGUCAUGACAGCUCAUCUUAACCCAACCCAUCUCUGCCCAAGUAAUAUUGGGUGGUUCGUUGACCCAUUUAUUUAUUGGUUCAACCUAUUUUGACCUGCCUAAAAUCAACCCGGGCCGCCCAUUUGACACUACUAUCCAUCAUA
rnacentral:lncRNA from 1 species